ACCACCACCCUCCAAGCUCUGAAAUUCCAAAUUGAACAAAUUUCCAACGUACCCAUCUCUCACCAGCGCCUAUUCAUCUCCCAAAGCCUCCAAUUGUUGACCCAAAGAGACUCCACCCUCCUCGCUGACCUUGGCAUCAAACCCUACUCUACCCUAACCCUCCACGUCCCCUUCUUCGGUGGCACCCUACCCCACAAAAAUCCCAAACCCCGCCUUGAUUUCCUCAAUUCCAAGCCUCCUGAGGGUUAUGUCGCUGGGCUUGGCCGUGGUGCUUCUGGGUUCACCACAAGGUCCGACAUUGGGCCUGCCCGAUCUGCCCCCGAGCUGCCCGAUAGGGCAAUUGGGCAGCUUGAGGAAGCAGGGGAGGAAAAAGGGUACGAUGAGAAUCAGCAAUUUGAUGAUUUUGAAGGCAACGAUGUUGGGUUGUUGGCACCAGAUGCCAAACUGGAUGAAGAUGAUGAGAAGGCUGAUGCAAUGUGGAAAGCAGUUGAUGAGAGAAUGGACUCCAGGAGAAAGGACAGGAGAGAGGCUCUGUUAAGAGAAGAGAUUGAAAAGUACAGAGCUUCCAAUCCCAAGAUUACAGAGCAGUUUGCAAGUUUGAAGAGGAAUUUGCACACAUUGUCUGCCCAAGAAUGGGAGAGUAUACCUGAAAUUGGGGAUUAUUCAAUGAGAAACAAGAAGAGGAGGUUUGAGAGCUUUGUGCCGGUGCUGGAUACCCUUUUGGAGAAGGCAACGCAGGAGAAAGAGCUUGUUACUGCAAUAGAUCCCACUAGUACAGAUUUGACUGCCGUGAGGCAGGGCAGAGAUAUAGUGUUGUCUUUGAAAUUGGAUAGGAUUUCGGAUUCUGUCUUGGGGUUGACAGUUGUUGACCCAAAAGGGUAUCUUACUGAUCUUAAAAGUAUGAGCAUCACAAGUAAUACAGACGUUCAUGAUAAAAACAAGGCUAGAUUGUUGAUGACGAGUUUAAUGAAGUCAAAUCCUAAGAACCCACGUGUGUGGAUUUCGGCAGCAAGGUUUGAGGAAGUGGCAGGAAAGAUGAAGGCAGCCAGGAAAUUGAUUCAGGAAGGGUGUGAUGAGUGCCCUAAGAGUGAGGAUGUGUGGUUGGAGGCUUGUAGGCUUGCUAGCCCCAAAGAUGCUAAGGCUGUUAUUACUAAGGGAGUUAAAUUUAUUCCCAAUUCAGUCAACUUGUGGAUGGAGGCUGCGAAAUUGGAGCGUGAUGAUUUGAACAAGAGCAGGGUCUUGAGGAAAGGGUUGGAACACAUUCCUGAUUCUGUUAGGCUGUGGAAGGCGGUCGUGGAUCUAGCGAAUGAGGAGGAUGCUAGAAGUUUGCUCAAAAGGGCUGUGGAGUGUUGUCCAUUGCACAUUGAAUUCUGGCUUGCACUCACAAGAUUGGAAACUUAUGAGAACGCCAAGAAGGUCCUCAAUAAGGCAAGGGAGAAUCUAUCGGAGGAGCCUGCAAUUUGGAUCACGGCAGCAAAGUUGGAAGAAGCUAAUGGGAAUGUGUCCAUGGUUGGGAAGAUUAUUGAAAGAGGUAUAAGGGCUUUGCAAAAAACAGCGGUUAUUAUUGAUAGAGAAGCAUGGAUGAAAGAGGCUGAAGCUGCUGAACGUGCAGGGUCUAUAAUGACUUGCCAAGCUAUCAUUCGGAGCGCAAUUGGGAUUGGUGUGGAGGAGGAAGAUAGGAAGAGGACAUGGGUUUCUGAUGCAGAGGACUUCAUGAAAAAAGGUUCCAUUGAAACAGCCCGAGCAAUUUAUGCGCAUGCACUUACUGUCUUUUUAACCAAGAAGAGCAUAUGGAGGAAAGCAGCUCAGCUUGAAAAGAGCCAUGGUUCUAGGGAAUCUCUUGUUGCUUUGCUUCGUAAAGCAGUGACAUAUUGCCCACAGGCUGAAAACUUGUGGCUUUUUGGUGCUAAGGAGAAGUGGCUUUCAGGGGACGUGCCUGCUGCCCGUGCAAUCCUCCAAGAAGCUUAUGCUGCCGUUCCCAACUCUCAAGAAAUUUGGCUUGCUGCGUUUAAACUUGAGUUUGAGAAUCACGAAUCCGAGAGAGCUAAGAUGCUUCUUGCCAAAGCCCGAGAAAGGGGAGGUAACGAAAGAGUAUGGAUGAAAUCUGCAAUUGUUGAGAGGGAAUUAGGGAACAUUGAUGAGGAGAGGAAGUUUCUUGCUGAAGGCUUGAAGCGCUUCCCAUCAUUCUUUAAAUUGUGGUUAAUGCUUGGACAGCUAGAGGAACGGCUUGAUCAUUUGGAAAAAGCCAAAAAGGCCUAUCACUCAGGUCUGAAGCACUGCCCCAAUUCUCUACAACUCUGGCUUUCUCUCGCUAAUCUAGAGGAGAAAAUGAUUGGGCUGAGUAAAGCUCGCGCAGUUCUCACAAUUGCCAGGAAGAAGAACCCUCAGAACCCUGAACUGUGGCUUGCUUCUGUUCGAGCUGAAUUGAGGCAUGGCAAGAAGAAGGAAUCUGAUAUUUUGAUGGCAAAGGCUUUGCAGGAGUGUCCCAAUAGUGGUAUCUUGUGGGCAGCAGCUCUCGAGAUGGUAGCUCGUCCCCAACGGAAGGCAAAGAGUAAAGAUGCCCUUGAGAAAUGUCGUCAUGAUCCCCAUGUUGUUGCUGCUGUGGCCAAGUUAUUAUGGCAUGACAGGAAGUUGGACAAAGCUAGGAAUUGGCUCAACAUGGCAGUAAUGUUUGCCCCCGAUAUUGGGGAUUUUUGGGCUUUAUACUACAAAUUUGAACUUCAGCAUGGUACUGAGGAGAACCAAAAGGAUGUAUUGAACAGAUGCAUUGCUGCAGGGCCAAAGCAUGGAGAAAAAUGGCAACCUAUUUCAAAGGCCGUGGAGAACUCCCAUCAACCAAUUGAAGCUAUCUUGAAGAAAGUUGUGGCGGCAGCAGAAAAUAAUAAACAGUAGUUCUGCUUAUCAUAGAGGUAUAAAAAUUAACCUGUGCUUCUGAUUUUUGCUACUUAGAAGUAGUUGGUGGACAAACUAUGCUGAUGUAUAUCUAUCCCAGAAUUUGGAACUGCAAUUGUUUCACAUCUUAAUUAUAUGACUGUUUCCUCCAAAAGAUUUCCAUUUGAUUGCUUUUAUUUCAGUUCAGCUCUGCAUCCAUUUGUUCUGACUUGAAAUCUGUCUAGAUAAAGAAGUUAUUUUUAAUAGUUCUUGAAAUAUUACAGGGGAUGGAAAAACAGAAAUGUGACAGUGGAUGCAUAUGCAGUUAUGCUUGAUCGAUUUGUUUAGCAGAAUUCGCAAAUGACUUGGCAAUAGUUGCGAACAUGGAAGUCACCAUGCUGUCAUAGGGAAGUUGGAUUAAUCUGCCUUGGGAUACAUGAUAUUAGUUGGAUCAAUUAGUUUCUUUCUUUCUUAUCCUAAAUUUUCCUGUUAAUUUAUUACCUCCAGGCAAUGAGGCAGUCAGAGUUAUGAUCAACGUAUCGGUUUAUCUGCUCUUGUAGGAGAUGUGGCCUAACUUAUGUAUAUGGACAAUGCUUAGGAGGUAAAUUCAUGAAAGCCUAUUAUUUAUUAAUCCAAACUUUCACAUAUAAUCAGAAAGAACCCAGAAGGCUAAACUUCUUUUGAUUUUAGCUCCCCUAUAAUAUGAUCUGUUAUUUUUUAUUUGGGAAAAAGCUUAUUCUUCUACAGAAUUUUUUUGAGUUUUUCUAGUAUAUUAAUACUUAAAUCUGGAUUUUUUAUUCCUUAUGUACUUUUUGCUGGUAACUUUGAAGAGAAGUACCUUUUUCAAAUUUGGACCAUGAACUGUCUCCUAACCAUUUUUCUCCCAUUCUACCGCUCAGGACUUAAUGUCCAAAACUCAGUUUUGUGAGUAUUCUGACGGAGUGUAUUGAGCAAGUACUAUAACCUUCAGCUGCAACCCUCAAGGUAAUAUCAGCAUCCGAUUUCAACUCUCUCUCUUUUGAGGUCAGACAUAAACUUCAAUGGAGACAAGGCAACCGAAAGGUUGACUUAUUACAUUGGUGAUGCUAGAGUUGAUUAACUCCGGGAAAACUCUCGUUUGAUAUCUGGGACGUCAACUCCUGGUUAUGAAAAGCCAUAUUUGGGUGUUGGGUUUGGGUGUCAUGAAUUUUUUUUUUUCUUUCUUCAAUUUGUUCUAAUUUUGUAUUUAUUUUAACCCUCUUUUUAUUUGUUAAUUAUGAAAAGUCAUAUUUACCCUAAAUUUUGGUUAAAUCUAAUAGAAAAUUAGACGGUAUGACCAAUUUGCCGAAUAAUAUAGAGUUGAUGGACUAUUUAAACGAAUAAUUUAAUUGAGGGAUCAAAAUGUAAAUUGAUUAGAAGUUUGAGGACCAUUUAAGUAAAUUUAUUUAUUUAUUUAUUUUUGUGGUAAAAGAAUACUAUAUUCUAGUUAGCAUUGUAUUAUAUAUUCAAUCACAAUGACAUAGAUGAUAUGUUUACCAUAAUGUAAUAUAUAACGCAUGAUGACUAAAAUAGUAAUAGUGCAAUAACAGUUCAACAAGUUCAGCAUAUUUUCAGAGAAGUUUUUUUCGCAGUGGAUGCUUUUAGGGGUGGGCACUCAAACCGGCGAACCGGAAAUCCGAACCAAACCGCACCGAACCAAACCGGAAAAAAAUCGAGUUGACCAAAAAGUCAAAAACCGGUCAAAAACCGAACCGGACCGGUUUGGACCGGUUCCGGAUCCGGUUUCAUGUCUUCAAAAACCGAACCGGGCCAAACCGAACCGGUGAAACUAAAAAAAUAUAUAAUUUCAAUAUAUAUAUUUAUAUUUAAUGCUAUAUUUUUAAUUUCACUAAAAAAAACAUAAUAUUUAUCCAAGUUCAAUGUCAAAAUAUCUCUAUUUUCUCACUUUAAUAUUUAUUUUUAUAUGAAAUUGAAUAAUUUGUUAAUUUUUAAGUAAAAAAAUAAUAUUUCAGUUGAGAAUUGUAUUAAAAAGUAAUUUAAAAAAAUAAUUUUUAUAAUCCGGUUCAAAAUCGAACCGGAACCGGACCGAAACCGGUUCAAACCGAACCGGACAGUUUUUGAAAUUUUUUUUAUUAAAACCGAACCGAAUCAAACCGGAUGAAUAGUAUUGGAUCGGUUCUAAUUUGAGGCAAAAACCGGUCCAAACCGAACUGUGCCCACCCCUAGAUGCUUUAGCUCAAUUGAGACAGUUUACUACUUAACCAGACUAUUUGGUUUUCAAAUCUUCCUUUUUCUCUAAGUUACAAAUUUGUUCUACGAUCUUUGGAAAGUAGUGCUGUAGUGGACUAACCAUGUGUCCACUUUUAGAAAAUUGUACGGUUUCUGUUUUGGGGUCUGAAACUGAGGCCGAACUAAGUACAAUUGGUUUAGUCCAAAAUCACGAAGAUAACCGAAUCAAAUAAAACCAAUUUAAGAUGGUUUGGGCUUAUGUUCAAUUCUUUUUUUUUUUUUUUUUUUUUUUUGUUUUUUAUGAAACAGUAGUAAUUCAAUUGAAGAUACAUGGCACAAAUCCAGGAUACAACAAUAAGAACACAGCUCCGAAAGGAGGUUCUUGCAAUACAGACUGUAACAACACCAACUAAGUACAAGUAUUACAAGAUAGUUAGAAAAUAAAUAUACGACUUGAAACCCAGCUAACAAGGAGUUACAAAGGACCCUAAUUUUGCAGCAAAUAGUGCUUAAAAAAGAUCAAGAUAGAGAACAAACUCUCAAACUUCAUGGGACAAGAAACACCCCAAGAGUGGAGGGCAUAACCGCUCAACUUCCACUAGGACAUUCCAAAUAAUAUCACAGCAUCUCCUAAUCCCCCUUGAUCCCCAAGCACAAUAAAAGUAGAUCCAUCAAAUUCAGCAGCUCCACCUCCAGUACAGAGAGAUCUAACACUAGAUCUACCGCACAAGUAGCAGAUCUAGCAAGAUCAACCAAUAACUAGCCCCAAAAGAUUGGGAAACAAACCCUCAAGAAAAGGGAAGAAACAAACCCUUACAACAGCAAGGAGCAAACAAAACCCAACAAAAGUUGGGAGGGAAAACCUCUCCACAACAUAACGGGGGGGAGAGAGGCCCGGAUUAUUAACCGAAGGGGAUGGUUCCAGGGGAGAUCCCCUAGAACCAAGAAGAAUUGCAUAUCUGGAGAAGAAACGAGACGGAGUAUAUUCAAUUAUCUUUCCUUUUGCAUUUUUUUCAAUAUUGUUAGUCAUUACAACCUAAAAAAUUCACAACUUGCUACAUAUGUAUUUUAUUUUAUUUUAAUCAUUUUCUAGCAUAUAAAACCACCCUAAAACUUCACUUCCCAAAGGUCCAUCAACUUCAAAUUCAUAUCCAUAUAUGGUUAUUUCUAACUUGCUUGCCAAUAGGAUCUAGUCUAGUGGAAAAAGGGUCUUGAGUUGCAUAUAAGAGGUCUCAGGUGCGAAUCCCCACGGCAUCAUAGUUGUGUCUGUGUGUGCCGUUGGCAUGCUUUUUAAAAUUUUCAAAUAUGUUAUAGUUUUCUUCAUAUUUACUUGUAAUGUGUUUUGUGAAGUAUUAAUUAUUACAUGUAGCGAAUCAGUGAUAAGUAAACGAUUAAUAAAAAAAUAAUCAGAGUAAUUUCUGUUCUCUUUUUCUUUCAUUGGUAAACCAAGCAUAUGGGAUAAACUAACGUCUCCAAGAUGAAGAACAUCCACAUGAGCAAAUUAUUUUUGUUGUAUCAAUCACAUAUGUAGAAGCUUCAAUCAAGAAGAAAGAUAAAAUGACAUCAAGCUAUCUCGUCUUUUUUGGUUUGGUUUGAACAAAAAGUUACCUCUGAGUUCAAACGUAGAAACUUUGUUGUCUGUGGAAGCAUUUGUUGGUAUUUUCAUAUUCUGAGAUGGAUGUUGUAUCCUUCCAUUAGUUCUGUUCCUUUCUUUUUUAUAUGUCACUGCCCAAGUUUUGAAAGAAAAGCGCAAGGCCACAAUGAACCAAAAACAGUGAAGGGCAGGCCUCCAGUGGCUGAGAAGUUACCUCCCAAAUGCACAAACAUAAUGUUUAAAUAUACAACAUUACAAUGAACAAGUUCAUAAUGAUAAUAAAACCAAAAGUCUUAAAAUUUGAACCGAUUGGCCAAUGGAGUCUAGUCGAGUGAAAAAGGGUCUUGACAAGUAGACCAGAGGUUUCAUGUUUGAAUUCCCACGGCAUCAUAAUUGUGUGUGUAUGAGAAACCCCCUUCUCUUCUAGUUUAGACUAUCGCUUGUACUUCAAAAAAAAAAAAUUGAACUCAUUAAGGUGUGGAAAAAAAAGUUUCAGUUAAGAACAAUGAGAGUAAAAAAUAAAUGCACCAUUGAGAAUUCAACCAAAAAAAAAAAAAGGACAACUAUUAGUUUGUGGUUGGGCCACAUUAAUAGGCAAUGAGUAGUUCCUCUAUGGGCAAGGAAAAUACUUCUCUUCUUACCAGGUAAAUAGGAGCUCCUACAGUCUUGUAAAUAAUAGUGUGACAUGUGUGCGUGUUUCUUUUUAUGUUUUUAAUGAAUUAUUUUUGCAUGUGUCAAAUUGUGAUUCAUAGAAAGGAAGAGCAUCUCUUUACCGGCCAUCAUUCCUGUGGGAAUGUGAAAUGUAGAAUGUAGAAUGAUCCUAUAUGAAUUCUAAUUCCUCUGAAAAUACCAGAUAAAGAAAUUUCUCAGCCAUUGUGCACUUUUUGCACAGAUCUUCAUUCUCAAAUCAGAUUAAAAAUUUUACAAAGAAAAAAACAUCAUUCCUCAACUCUCACGUUAAUGAAUUAUGUUAACACAGCAAUUGUUACGCAUCACAGUAUACACAUGGCAGCUUACGGGUUAUGAAUUCUUCUGCAGCUUAUUGAUUAGGAGACCUUGAGGGCUUUGCCUUAUACAGCUUGUGGUGUCUGUUUUUGAUUAUUCUGUUAUUAGUUCUCUGUUUCUAGGGCUGUUAUUAGUUUAUUUCUGUUUUGUGUUGUUUAAUUAUUCUGUUUUUGUUAAUAUCAUGCUUUAGGAUUGUAUUUAGGAUUUUUUUGUUUUGUUAAUAUCAUCUGUAAGUUUCUGUUUUUGGUUAAUAUCAUGUUUAAUUUUCGGUUUUGUUGGGUUGAGGUGCUGUUUUUAGACUUUUUCUGUUCUUGGACCUUUUCUGUUCAGUAUGCGACAGUGGUCUGGUUGUUAUGCAUGACAUAAGUAAAAUAAGGGUUCUCUAUUCUUCUUUCCUUUUCUUUUUGAUCAAAUCCCAUUUUUUAUUGAAUGAAUCUGUUUCUUCAGCACGGUUCUACUGUUUUAUUUUCCUUAUAUAUAUCACAAUAACUGCCCAAGUUCCUGAUAUUUUUCCAUAAGCCACUGUUGAAAUCAAAAGAUGAAAUUGUUAAUUGAGAACUGUGGUAUUGUGGAUUUCGUGAAAAUUAGAUUUCUAGUGUAAAUGUUUGUGAGAAAGCCUGUUGCCAGAAAUGUUGGAUUUCAUGCGAGAACUUAGGAAGGUACAUCAUCCAUUACCAUCAAAGUGUCUGCUCUGUUUUUUUCAUUUUGGUGGUGGGUGGGAGUCUGUAAGUUUUUGUGCAUGAUCAAAAGCCUUGUUGACUGCAGGUUGUAACAGUGGGCAUUGUGGAAGGGUCUGACCUUUCUAAGAUAACAGAGCAGCUUGGGAAGACAGGUGUGUACUUUUUGCUUAUAGAAAAUAUAAUUCCAAAUGUAUUGGACAAUUAAUUUUGCAUAUGAUACAUCAAUUCAUGCAGUUGUUGUUAGAGCUCAAGUUUAGAUAUUUACUUAUUAUGUAUGCAUAUAUAUACCUCUCAGAAUCAAUUUGUUUAUAUUGGAUCUUGACAACCAAGGAGUUUGAAGGUUUCUGCUUUCUGCCAAAAGAAAAAAAAAUCUAAGCUCAGCUAUUCAAAUUGUUUGGUUGCAUGUAUUGUUGGCCUUUAAAUUGUCUUGGUGAAUCAUAUGCUAAAGGCUGGGGCCUUGUUCCAUUUUCCUUCAACUCUUAGAUAUCCUUGAGUGUUAGUUCCUCAGGAAUAUUAUGGACACAUGCUUAGCAUACAGUGUCCUCAUUAAAGUGAUGUGUUUGAAAUUGAUUUUGUGAAGUUAACACACUCAUACACUGUCAUGGAUCCUUAUGAAUCCAUUGUGUGAAGUUGAUUUUCUUAAGCAUCAAAUGGGCAAAAGUAUGCUCUGAUGGAGUAACCAUUAUUUGUUUCUGAUAGGAUCCAUGACAGUGUUGCAUUCCUUUUCCUUUUCUCCUGCAUAUUUUUAUUUGUUUCUUUACUUGGUAAUUACUCCAAAUUGAAUGAUUUUGCGUUUGGAAUUCUGUAGAGCUUGAAGACAUUUCUUGGAGAAGAGAAGCUGAAGAUAAAACCAUGCUCUGUUGUAUGCUAUGAUUCUCAAGUUCCUUAUUUGAAAGAUACCUAAGGUGUCAAACACAGCAUGUACGAAGAACCUGGAAACUUAAUCAAAUUGUUCUUGAGAUUGAUUUGCGAUGAUCUGUACACAAUUCUGCAGGAAUUUAUCAAUUUUACACUUCAUUAUAUCGCAGACUUGGACAUACCGAUAAACCGCAUUUCGCUCAAAGGGUUGAAGGGAGAUAGUGCAUCAAACUGUUCGCAAGGGCCAACUUGAUCCGGAGGUUAAUGGAGUGGAAGCCUUGUUAAUUCUUAAGCUAUUUAUAGUUAACUUAUACUUACAUUGUCAAUUGUAACUGUAGGGGUACAUUUAUAGAGUUCUGAAGUGGGAUGCUUAAUGUAUCACCAACUGGGCGAAACUGUAGCCAAGAAUAAAGGGAUGAAUUUGAAAGAUAUGACAAGGUUAGACACUUAACCAAAAAACUAAAAUUGUGAGUGCAUGUUCAUUCGAAAUGAUAUGGAUUUUCUUUUUCAUUUGUAUAUAACUUGAAAGAUGAUAUUUGGUCUGCAGGUUCAGAACACACGCCCAAAAAUGGUAUCCGUCCUUCGUGAGAAGUUUGCUCACCUUAACCUGACAUUUUCCAUAGGAGGACAGAUAAGCUUUGAUGUAAGUAAUAGUUGAUAUUCAUUUAUGCUUGAUGAUUACUGGACCAGUCCUUUAUCUAUCCAUCUUAACUUUUGCUUGUCCUCUCCUUGAAUAGUCUGGUAAAGGUCGUUGGGAUGACAUUUGAAAUUGAAAAUGGAUGGUUUUCGAUGCUUGUAACAGGUUUUCCCUCCAGGUUGGGACAAGACAUACUGCUUGAGAUACCUAGAGGACUUUCAAGAAAUUCAUUUCUUUGGUGACAAAACUUACAAGGUUAGUCCGUAAUUUCGGGGCUCUCUACCCUCUUCUUAGUCACAUGGUACCAUUUCGGCAGCUUCCUUUAUGUUAUUUCAUAAGUUCUUUUUUCAUGUUCUCUGUUUUACAUUUAGAUUUCUGGCAUGAAAUUUUCUGUUUUACAUUUAAUACUUCCUUUAUCUGGGCCCUAAAUCUUGUGACUUUCAUCUUCUGCAGGGAGGAAAUGACCACGAAAUUUAUGAAUCUGAACGAACCGUAGCUCAUACAGGUAAGCUCUCAUUUCAGGUCGAAGUUACUUAGGGCCGUCUUAUCAUUGAUGAGCAUUUCCAACAUUUAUCUGAUGCUCUACACUUUUUGCAGUUAUCAGCCCUGAAGAUACAGCCAAGCAGUGCAAAGCCGUCUUCCUGAGCCCCCGAUAUCGUUCCAACUUUUCGGUUUUGUGUUAUACGCCAUUUUCAAACAAGAAUAAGUUAUAUGCCAUUUGUAAUUCUGUAUUUGAGAAUAAAUGUUAAGCAGAAAUCUGAAAUGUGUAGUAUUAUUAUUAGACACAAACAUAUUGGUUCAGAAAUUGCAUUUUUUGCAUUGUAUUUUUUGUACCACUGGUUCCCUAUAUAUUUAAAUCUAUCUUGGAAAGGAUUAUUCACUUUUGCACUUUGCUUCUGCUAGACUUGCUCUAUACUAAAGAAAGAUGUGUGCAGUUGGAUGGUUGGUGCAGCAUAAGGUUAUUAAACUAAUCAUCAUCCUCAUAUCAAAGAGCUAUAAUUCAAUUCUCUCCGAUCCAACCACAUUCAAAAUUUUAAAUUGCACAAUACCAAUUAAUCAACAUACAAAUAAGACUAUAAAUCAAGAGAAAAUCCAAGAUUUUCAUUCUUACACACUUUUUUUUUUUUUUUUUUUUUGCCUAAGGUAGGAAGGGGAGGGGGGAAAUUUACACAGGAUAUCAUGGGGGUUUGAAUCCAAGACUACUUGAGCAUACCAAAGGUCCAGAACCUAUUCUAAACUUAACCCAUUUGAGCUAACUCAAGUUCUUAAUAUUAGACAUUUUUUAGCCUCCAUGAUUGUCUACUUUGGAUUAAAAAAAGAAAAACAAAUGGUGCCAAGAAUCAUCUCAUUAUAAGUCAAGCAAAUGCUUCAUUUUCUGUUAAAAAUAAUAAAUUUCUAUGACAUAGGAAAAUAUUUCAACAAAAAAAAAAAACAAAGAAACAGUCGCACAAAAUGAAAUGAACCAUAAGAAAGAAUGCUCAUUAAAAAAUAAAAAUAAAAACUUAAAAAUGGAAAGUGUUAUAGUAAUUGUGUCUUAAACUGGAUGUAAGAAGAGCACUGAAUCGUUGUUGAGACACUAAAAACGUUGUGUUUAGUUCCAUCAUAACAAUCCACGGCUGCCGCUAACUGGCGGACCCAAUUAAAGACAACUGUGGGUAGCUUCCCACACUUACCAAAAAACACUUCAGCCAUAUAAUCCCACUUCAAUUCAUAAUUUUUAAUUAUUUUUAGGCCCUUUCUAAGUAAAGCCCCCACAUAGCCCAUUCAAUACACACUUAAAGCCCAAAACUUAUAUUAAAAAAGAAAAAUCCUAAACUCUAUGUUAAAAAAGAAAAAUAGAGAUCCCACCAAGUUCACUCAUUCUGUAAUUUUGUGGAGAACUCAGCCACCAAACUCGUUAUUUGACAGAAGUCUACAGCCCAACAAAUCAAACUCACUACUUUAAUUGAUUUUACAAGUUAGCACUUAGUUAUUUUUUACAAACUAAUUUCAUUAUAUUCUUAUUUAUAUGCAUUCAAUUUGUAUUGAUGAUUGAUUUUAUUAUAUAUAUAUAUAUAUAUCUUGAUGAAAAAUAAUAUAAACUAUUUAUGAAAGUUAUGGAAAAAUAUUUUAAAAGAAAAUCCGAGUUGGAGUUGUCGGGACCUAUUGGGAGAAGUGAUGAUAGUUCAAAGCAAAGUUGCAUAGAAAUCAAUAUGUCAGAUCUUCAUUCUGAUCCUGGUUUACGAACUCGGAUUUUAGAUUACAAUCCGAACAUUCGAGAUGAAAUUAGAAGAGCUUACUUACAAAAAGGCCCUUGUCAGCCUAGAAAUCAUGAUUUCCCUCAAAAGAAAUUUGGAAAAGAGUCAAGACGAUUCAACCCAGCAUGGUUUGAUGAAUUCCCUUAUUGGUUGGAAUAUAGCAUCAAAGAAGAUGCUGUAUUUUGCUUAUGUUGUUAUCUUUUUAAAACAAAUUUGGGAGAGAAAGCUGGAAGUGACUCAUUUUUUGGUACAGGUUUUUCAAAUUGGAAGAAAAAGGAAAGAUUUCAAGUUCAUGUUGGAGGUCCCAAUAGUUCCCAUAACCAAGCUCUGAAAAAAUGUCAAGCCUUAAUGAAUGAAAAACAACAUAUUGAAAAUGUUUUCCAUAAGCACUCACAUCAAUCUCGAAUUGACUAUAGAAUCAGAUUGAAUGCAUCUGUUAAUUGUAUUAGAUUUCUUCUACAACAAGGUCUUGCCUUUCGUGGCCACGAUGAGUCUGAGGAUUCAAGCAACCAAGGUAAUUUUCUUGAGCUUUUGCAAUUUCUUGUUGAUCACAAUGAGGAAUUUAGAACUGUUGCUUUGAAAAAUGCUCCUGAAAACCUUAAAGUAACUUUACCUAAGAUUCAGAAAGACAUUGUAAAUGUUGUAGCAGUUGAAACUACUGAUGCUAUUAUUAGAGAUAUGGAUGAUGCAUUCUUUUCUAUUUUAGUUGAUGAAUCUCGUGAUGUAUCAGUAAAAGAGCAGAUGAUUGUUAUGUUUCGUUAUGCAGACAAGAAAGGAUCUGUGAUUGAACAGUUCAUAGGUAUUGAACAUGUUACAAAUACCACAGCUGAGUCACUUAAAGCAAGUAUUGAUGCAUUAUUUUCUAGACAUAAAUUGAGUAUAUGCAGAUUACGAGGUCAAGGUUAUAAUGGGGCUAGUAAUAUGAGUGGAAAGUUCAAUGGUCUGAAGACACUUAUUAUGAGGGAGAAUGAGUCUGCUUACUAUGUUCACUGUUUUGCACAUCAACUUCAGUUGGCUAUUGUGGGUUUGGAAAACCUUAGUUUUAAACCCAGAUUUCUUCUUCCUCUCGAGAAUGUUUCGAACAACCAUUUUCAGACAACCAUUUCUCCUCUGUCUGGCCACCAAAUCGAGUGCCACAACUUGCAAACUCUUCACCUCUCUCUCCUCUUCCCAUACAUACUCAUAUCCAGCCUUGAUUCCAAGCGAAUCAACCAGAAAAUCGAGCCAAAAUUGAGCCCAAAAAGGGGCAGCUUCGAACCCAGAAAGUUCGAGGUAUUUUCCGACAGAUUCCAGCCGCCAUAGCUCAGGUAAUUGCACCCAAACUACUCUCCUACCUUCCCUUUGUGUUAUUCCUUCAAAACACAACGUGAAUCCAUUCCAAUUUCUUUGAUUUUGAAACUAAAUUUUUUUAGAUUUUUUAAGAGACAGAAAGCUUCGUUCGAGAGCUUUAAAGUUUGAAUUGAUCGUCGAGCUAAGGUAUAAAGUUACUCCCCUUGAUGUGCUUAAUCCGUAGGUGUGAUUAUUGGCUGGCGGUUUGGAGUUUUUCGAUAGCCGAAAAAUUGCUCAAUGCACCCACUAGCGGUGGCAGCGCGUGGCAGCGCGUCACCGGGGUGUCAAUGUUAGGUUUUUAUCCUAGAAUGAUCCUCGUGUUGUCACGAGCGCAUAGGAAUUCGCUGAUCUUAAUUUGGAUAACGUUUGAAUCCCGAACGGAUCUCGCAUCUUGUGUGAUUUUCGGGUUCAAUGGUUUUGAACCAUUGAUCGUGCGAUUGUGACCAAACCAACCGUCCAUUUCAGACCAGACUCAUGGGACUUGUGUCCUAGGUUUAAAGGAACGUUAAUGUGGGCAUAGGAGUAACUUUAAUUGGAUGCAUGCACUUCUAGGAGCUAGGAUUUUAUUUAAAUAUUUAUAUCGAGCAGUUUUAUUAAUAUAUAUAUUAUUAUGGUAAUUGAAUCAGGCAUUCGAGCACCAGUUGACCCGCAGAAAGGACCUCCAAAAGGUCCAGCGAGCUCAGACCAGCUGUGAGUGGACUCUUUAUUUUCAUAAAUGAAUUUAUGCUAUUGAGUUACAGUAUUUGAUCUUGAAUCAGUUUUAUUCAAAGAUUAGUGUUUUAUUAGUUGAUGUAUGCUUUUAAAUGUUUUGAAUUCACAUGCGACCGAGUGAGAUAUCUUUUAUGGAUAUAGGAAAAGGAAAUUUUAGCUAAAUAACAAAUAAAUGGCAGCAAAGUUCUAGAUUUAACAGAAAUUCAGUUAUUUAUCAUAUUUUUCAAAGAUUUUAGAUUUUCUUAAGCCACCUUAGGUACCCAGUUAUAGAAACAGGUUGCCUUCGGAUAUGACGAUGUCCACGGACAUCCAGGUUGCCUUCAGUUUUGUCAGCGUGCUUGACAUCUGCCUCACGAGUUUCGGGGACGCCGGAAUCGUGGGAGCCAAGACUGCGGAUCAGGCUUACUACGGUCCCCUCAAUUCUGCCAGUUUGCGGCUCGGGUUGACUUUGUGUCACCGAAACCUGCUAGGAAAAUUGACAGAUUAUCAGGAAUUGACAGAAUUAAAGGGGUACACCUAGGUGGUAGUUUUAAACUGAUUUCAAUGCUUUUAAGAGUUUAAAGAUGAUUAUGAGUAUGAUUGAUUUAUAUUUAUAUAUAUAUGGGUGCAUUGAUUUCAGUAUGUAUAUGAUUAAAAGGAUGAAUUAGUUUUGUGUAACUGUUUUUACAGUGGGGUUAGUAUGUUCUUAUGCUAUUUUUCUUAAAACUUUGUUUUUGGGUCCACUCACCUUUUAAAUGUUUAGCGCCCCCAGGCCGUAGACGUGCAUCUGAAAGUCACCACAGGGCAGUUUCCGCUUCCUGCAUCUCUUCAGCCUAUUGUAGGGUCCUUAACCCUCCAAAUGUUCUUCUUGUAAAUUAAUCUGUAUAGAUGCUUUGAUAUUGCCCCUGGGCUCGAACCUUACUGUUGAUUGUAUAUAUAUACGCAUGCCGGAAGUUGGGUUGUGUAUAUAUGCUUGAAAGGACCCGCCCCGAAUUUUCUCAAAACCCGAGACGAACCCUUUGGAAUUCCUGACAUCACUCCGAUACCAGACCCACUUACUAAAAACCGAGACUCCCUGCCGAAAUUUCGGCAGAGUCUCCCCUAUAAAUUGGACAUUUUUCAAAAUUUCAACCUGCAUAAAAACGCAUUUAAUAUCCACAACUGGCAGCAUGCACAAUAUAAUUUCAUGCAGUUCACAUAAAUUGGCCUUCGGCCUUCCAAAAAUUCUCAACACACUACCAAACAAUCCAAAUACAAUUUAUGACUAACAUUUAGUCUGCGGCUGUACCUAAUAACCUUAGGCUGCCUACGUACCCUCCUUGAGGGAUCAAGCCACACGUAGUUCUUCCCAAAACCCAAUUCCACAUUUGGGCGAUACCUUAUUUCAUUUCUCUGUAUUUCAAAUAAUCUCCCCAUACGCCGGUACAACCAACGCCACGUAUGGGGCCUGUCAACACGCCGGAUAACCUACGCCACGUGCGACCAUGCCAUACUAUCAUAAUAUCUCCCCAUACGCCGGUACAACCAACGUCACGUAUGGGGUCUGUCUCAACGCCGGAUAACCUACGCCACGUGAGACCUGCACAUCAUAUCACAUAUCUCCCCAUACGCCGGUACAACCAACGCCACGUAUGGGGCCUGUCCCAACGCCGGAUAACCUACGCCACGCGGGACCUCAAUUUCAUAUCACAAAUCUCCCCAUACGCCGGUACAACCAAUGCCACGUAUGGGGUCUGUCGACACACCGGAUAACCUACGCCACGUGCGACCUCAACACAAUAUCACAAUAUCUCCCCAUACGCCGGUACAACCAACGCCACGUAUGGGGCCUGUCUCAACGCUGGAUAACCUACGCCACGUGAGACCUGAAUAUCAUAUUACAAAUCUCCCCAUACACCGGUACAACCAACGCCACGUAUGGGGCCUGUCCCAACGCCGGAUAACCUACGCCACGUGGGACCUAACUUUCACUUGGUGGUGCUUGUAGUGAAUCCAAAAUUCGGGGAGGUACCUAAAGUAGUGCGUAUAGCACUCCAAACUGACAUUCUAGACUCUGUUGUACCCUUGUACAACCAUAUAUAAUUAUAUAAAUAAUUCUAAUAUUGUGUAACCCUCCACAAUAGUUUAGCUCCCGAUACUCCCCCCUGGAAGGGUGAGAUUACUCCGGGAGACUCACGGUCAAUUAAGGGUCAAACUACUCUAACCCUGGUCAAACGGACCUGCAGAACCCACGACCUCCAAUUUCCGAACCGAAAGGGCUCGUUUGGUACACAGGACUGUCUUGGCAUGGACUAUGUUUAGGGACUGGUUUGGCUUGGCUUGGCUUGGUCUAAGUUGGAUAACACUUAUCCUGCGUUUGGUGUAUGCUGGGACUAGGACUAGAAUUUUUUUUAUUUUUUCAAAAAUAUCUAUAUAUAUAUGUAUAUAUGUAUUUUAUAAUAUAUAUAAUAUAUAUGUAUAUAUUCAUACAUAUAAUAUAUAUAUAUGUAUAUAUACAAGUAUAUAAGUAUAUUAUAAUAAUAUUAUAUAUUUUAAAUAAUAUAAACGUACAUACAUAUAUAUAAGUGUAUAUAGGUGUAUAUAUGUAUAUUAUAAUAUACAUGGGUAUAAUACAUAUACAUAUAUUUAUAUAUAUGUAUGUAUAAUAUAAUAUAUAAUAUAUAUGGGUAUGUUAUAAUAAUAAUAAUAAUAUACAUGUAUAUACGUGUAUAUAUGUAUAUUAUAUAUGUAUGUAUAUAUACAUAUACAUUAUAUAUAUUAUAAAAUACAUAUGUAUAUAUAUACAUUAUAUAUAUAUAUUAUAAAAUACAUAUAUAUAUAUAAUAUAUGUAUAUAUAUUAUAUAUUAUAAUAUACAUAUAUAUACGUAUAUACAUGUAUAUAAUAUAUGUGUAUAUAGGCGUAUCUAUAUAUUAUAAUACAUACAUGGGUAUAAUACAUAUACAUAUAUAUAUGUAUAUUAUAAUAGAUAAUAUAUAUGGGUAUGUUAUAAUAAUAAUAUACAUGUAUAUAUGUAUAUUAUAAUAUAUAUACAUAUAGUAUAAAUAUAUAAUGUAUAUGUGUAUAUACGUGUGUAUAUGUAUAUUAUAAUACAUACAUGGGUAUAAUAUAUAUACACAUAUAUGUAUAUAUACUUAUAUAUAUUACAUAUAUACAUGUAUGCUAUUAUUAUAAUAUUAAUAUGUAUGUGUAUAUGAGUAUGUUAUAAUAAUAAUAUACGUGUAUAUAUCUAUAUGUAUUUAUAUAUUAUAUAUGUAUAUAUGUGUUUAUAUAUAUUAAUGUACAUAUACAUAUAUACAUGUAUACAUGUAUGUAUUAUUGUAAUAUUAAUAUGUAUGUGUAUAUGAGUAUAUUAUAAUAAUAAUAUAUGUGUAUAUAUCUAUAUGUAUUUAUAUAUAUAUUAUAUAUGUAUAUAUGUGUUUAUAUAUAUAUACAUGUAUAUGUGUAUAUACAUGUAUAUAUGUACAUUAUAGUAUAUGUGUAUGUAAUAAUAAUAAUAAUAAUAAUAAUAAUAAUAAUAAUAAUAAUAAUAAUAAUAAUAAUAAUAAUAUAUGUUAUUAGUAUUACAAUAUAAUAUAUGCAUCUUAUACAUUGGUGAACAUAGGACUAGUUAAUCCUCCCUUUCUACAUGGGUUUAGUAGUCCCCUCCUAAUGAGGUAUUUUUGGUGGGCCCGGUAUUAGCAAUCUCAUCUAAGACUAGAAUUUAAUGAAACAAACAUGGUACUAAAUUUAGUCCAAGCCAAGCCUGUGUACCAAACGACCCCUAUGGGUUCUACCAGGUAUAGGACACUUGUCCUGCAAGUUUGGUUCACAUUGGACGGUCGGAUUUCUCACGAUCGCACGAUCUGACAAUUAAUAUAAAAUAUAAACUGUAAAAUUACUAUUCGGAACAUCCGGGGCUCCGAUUCACAAUCCGUGAAUUCCUACACGAUCCUAGAAUUACCUAGAUUAACAUAUAUUAAAUUUGGGACCAUCCAACGGUCCCAACCUAUCGAACCUAGAUAACGCACAAUAUGCGAUUAUCCGUUCGAUAGUCAAACAACGUCCGAAUUGAGAUCCGUGAAAUCCUACACACUCGUGACAACCUAAGGAUCUCAUCGGAACACAGUGCUACUUUUUCCACCAUGCCCACGCGCCGCCGCACGCGCCGGCAGCGCGUGGUGCCCAAAGCGAUAACGCUUCGCCGGAAGAUCUCAAAACCACGGCUCCAAACUCCUACCCUAGGUAUAACACCCUAUUUGGAGCCACUUUUGUUCUUGAACCUACCCCAAAAAGUGGCCGGAAAUGGCCGAUCACGGCAGCCGAAGUUCGGCCGAUUUUCAAUUCGAAAAUCGAAUUGGUUACGCUAAGAAUCGAUCUAAUCCUACCCAACCAUCAGCUAGAGCAUGCAGAAGGGAUGAAUUUCCAUACCUUGAUCGCCAGAAAUGCCGGCCGGAGAGGGAGAUCGGCGGCCAUGAAGAUCGGCGACAUCCAGGCAAAAUCGCCAUUUUUCGGCGACUGAGCGCGGCCGAUGUCGUCGGGGNNNNNNNNNNNNNNNNNNNNNNNNNNNNNNNNNNNNNNNNNNNNNNNNNNNNNNNNNNNNNNNNNNNNNNNNNNNNNNNNNNNNNNNNNNNNNNNNNNNNNNNNNNNNNNNNNNNNNNNNNNNAGAGAGAGAGAGAGAGAGAGAGAGAGAGAGAGAGAGAAAACCCAGAUUUUUAUAAAAAUCCCAUUUCAAAAUAUUUACGAUUGUGCCACUGGAUUUCUUUUGACCAUAUCUCUCUCGUUACAACUCCGAUUCGAGCCCACUACGUGUCUAUGAACUCGUCUCAGUACGACCUAUCCAAAAAUAUAAGUCACGGUCCCAAACUCUCUCUGGUUAAAAAUAUGACUAAAAUAUCCUUAAAUAAUUAAAUAAUUAAAUAAGGGUUAAAUUUGGGGAAAUUUGGGGUCGGGGUGUUACAAUGCUUGUUUUGACAGGUGUGAUUUUGGGAUUGAACAAUUUACAGGGGAGACUCUGCCGAAUUUUCGGUGGAAGUCAAGGCAAAAAUGAAAGUAAGUUUGUAACUAGAAGGGCAACUAGGUCAUUUGUGCUUGGCACCAGCCAUGUGUCGAUCACGAACAAGGUUCGGCUCGAAUUCCAACAGGGAAUUUGGGUAGGGUCCUGUCAAUAAAAAUAUAGGUAUAUUAUUGACCAAAAAAAUUAACAAAAAUAGGUCAAUUACUUUGUAAUUGAAAUUUUCAUACAUUUUUCAUAAAUUAAACAUAGGUACACAAUAAUUUAUAGAAAAUAGGUACGUUGUAUAACUGAAAUUCAUGCACAUUUUUUAUAAAUUGAAAAUAGGUACAUUAUUUAGAAGAAAAAAAUAAGUUCAUUAUACUAGGUAUACAUUAUUAGAGAAAAAAAAAGGUACAUUAUUCAGAGAAAAAAAUAGGUUCAUUAUACUAGGUAAAUUGUUUUACUAGGUACAUUAUUAGAGAAAAAAAAUAGGUAUAUUAUUUUGAGAGAAAAAAUAGGUACGUUAUUUUGAGAGAAAAAUAGGUACAUUAUUUUGAGAGAAAAAAUAGGUACAUUAUUUAGAAAAAAAUAAGUACAUUUUUAGAGGGAAAAAAAAAGGUUCAUUAUACUAGGUAAAUUGUUUUACUAGGUACAUUAUUAGAGAAAAAAAAAUAGGUACAUUAUUUUGAGAGAAAAAAUAGGCUCAUUUAAAAAAAAUUGAUUUCAUAAAACAAACAAUAAAAAGAUGAUCAAAUUAUUUUUCAUAAAACAAGUAAUAAAGAAAAAAAUAGGUACAAUAUUUGGAGAAAAAAUAGGUUCAUUAAAAAAAAUGUUUUAAAAACAAAACAAUCAAUAGAUUAUGAAAUUAUUUUUCAACAUAAUUAGAAUGUACACUAUUAUUUAUAAAACUAUAAUAACAAAGAAUAUUGGUUGUACAACUCAUAAAAAGAAAACAACAUUAAUUCUUAAAUUUAAUAUUGAAUUUAUAUUAUUAAUACUUUAAAUAGAUUACUAGUCGUAAUUCAUAGAAGGAAAACACCAUUAAUUCAAAAAUAGAUUACUAGUCGUAAAAUAGAUUACUAAUACUUUAAUGUGUAAUUUAAUAUUUAAUUUCAAAUAAGUGUCUAAAUUAGUUCUUAUAUCCAUUACAACUAUUUAGAGAUAUUUUCAAAUUCAACGGAUGUCAUUAGUUACACUUCCCAUAACACAUUAACUUAUAAAUAGGGGUAGUUUUGGAAUCAGAAAACUACAAUAAAUCAGAUUUUAAGUCAUAUUAGGUAACUUGCUUGGUUGGAUCCUAGUCAUUAGGUAUUAUUUGAAAAAAUUGGGUAUUUUAAAUAGAAAACUAAAGGAAAAGGUUGUAAGUGAUUUAAAAUGAAUUUUAUGGGUCUAAGCUCAAUUUACUAUUAAUUUUAUUAUGUAGUUCGUAUGACCUUAUUAAGAAAAAGAACUAAAGGAUUAUACUUCUCCAUAAGUGAUCGUAAGAGGAUUGCAUCAUGGACACUGUUGGAGUUAUUUGUGUGGACACCGAAGGACAAAUACCUUCUGGUGCCUUAAGUGGGGGUAUUGCACUGAAGGUGACUGAUACUUCUAAUAAUUUGCACUCGUUUGUUUGUCGUCUGUUUGUAGUGACUAAUAACCUAACAGGUUUUUGUUUUAAAAAAAAUAUAAUAAUAAUUCAGGUUAGUGGGCGAGUGGGAUUAGCAGCAAUGCAUGGUUCAGGCUGUUGGGCAUCCUCCAAAGGUUUUUUUGUGGCGCCAUGUAUAGUUGGCUGUUGUGUAAGUGGUGCUGGAGAAUAUCUAAUGAAAGGAUUUGCAGCUCGGGAGUGCUGCGUCUCUUUGUCACUGUAUGUUUGUCGUAUUACUAUAUAACAAUUUUUUUUAAAUUUUCCUUGACUUGAAGAUAGCUUCUCUGUCUCUCUCUCGGACACACACACUCACACACACCAAGAAGCCAGCUUUAUUGCAUAUUGGACCUGCCAAAGUUGGAGUGGUCAUGAUUUUUCAAAGUCAUAAUUAGCACCCUAUAAAAGAAAGGUAUUAUUAGCACUGUAGAAUAUCAGCUGGGAUGAUCUACAACGUCUAUGAGUUUUUUAGUUUAUAUACCAUGUCUAUUCUUGUCCAGAUGAAGCCAGUAUGUAAACUUGACUUUCAUAUCCAUUGCUUAGUUCACAGGCAGGUCCUGCCUCUGCUUGCAUGAAAGUUUUGCGCUCGGUUGUUCAAGAGAGUAAUCACAAUUGUACUGAUAGAAGUGCUGGAAUUCUACUUGUGCAAGCUGAUGAUCCCACAACAGUGAGUUCCAAGCUAGAACCUUUUGUGUUAGUUGUCAGAAAGAAUUAGUUGUCUGAAACAAAUUUUUUUUUUAUAAAUUUUUUGUACAGGAAUGUUUGUCUGAAAGAAUUGUAUAUUUAUAUGUUGCUUUUUAGGUUUCAGGAAGUUCUCCAAAGUUGAAAGCCAUAGAGAUUGCAGCUGCUUUCUCUUCCUUAUCCUUUGGAGUAGGAUACUUUGGAAGCUCUAUGGAGCGGCCCAAGGUAAUUAUCUGAGUCUGUUUGAUCUUUUUAUUGCUAUCUUUUUCUUCUAUUUGUUAUAAAUAUUUUGGGCCUUGUUGAUCUUUCAGGACUUCAAAGAUCUCAUUUUGUGAUUAUUCUUGUAGAGUGCUGCUAAACAAAUCCUAAAAUUAACUGAGUACACCCUAUUAUAAAAGUAUAUAUUGAAUUACUGAUUUACCCUAAUAUAAAAUGACCAAAAAGGAUAUAUGGAAUUGUGAAACAAAUAUAAUUUUAAUAAGUACACCAUACUAACCAUAUUCAACCCUAAUCAAGAGAUUGCUUGUCCUAUUGUGUUUUUAAUGAAAGAUGUGGUGAUUGCAAGAAAUUGGAAUUGCAAAAAAGUGUCAACAGUUUUAGUAGAAGCAUAAAUCCAUAUGAAAAGUCAAAGAUUUAUAAACAUUAUUAAAAAAAUCAAGCUGAAAAUCAACUAUAAAAUAAUGCUACAAGUAUUAGGGUGUAUCAUAGGUUUUUUUGAUAGUUUUAUAGGGUGUACUUAGUUAAUUUUACAUUUUAAUUAAAAUAUUAGGGUGUACUUAGAUCAUAGGAUGUACUCAGUUAAUUUUAGGGUUCGUUUAGCAGUACUCUUCUUGUAUUGUUUAUGUUUCACAUCAAAUUCUAUUUAGAGGCAUCGCACCAAUUGUUUCUGUUUGUUCCAGUGAAUGUGUAUGGUAAUGAAAGUCCGGGUGAUUAUAUUGUUAUUUGGCAACUUUAAAACUAAAUGCUUCAUCUUCUGCCUCGUACUGUCAAUAUCUAUUUGAUUUCUAACAAGAAUGUUGAAUCUGUAGUGAAUUUGUGGACUAAAUUGUUCCACCUUUCAAGUUUCAAUUCUUAGGACUACAAAAUUGCAAAAAAAAAAAAAAAAAAAAACUGGAGUGGACCAUUUCAAAGCGCGAAUUGAUUGCAAUCUUGUUUGUUUAAUAUUCUGGAUUUGGCUGCUUAUGCUUUGACGUAGAAGAUCAUGUCUGUCAAUUGGCUACUCUUCUCCUUGUCGAAGUACAUCUGGAUGUGUUAAAUUAAGUGUGCUUCUGAUCUGUUAGCUGUUGUUGCUGGUACUGGAGUAAUUGGUGAAGCAAUCUGGCAGAUCUCCUCAUAGCAGACAUCUCCAACCAGCCGAUAACCUCGAGGGCACUUUUCAUCCUGUCAAAAAAUACACACAUCAUGAAUGAGAUACAAUCAUCAUGGCAUGACCAAAUAAUCAAAUUUCAUAUUUCAGGAACGAUAUUCCAAAUGUAUCUGAUAACCUAGUCAGUGCAUUUCUGUUAACAAAGCAUGAGGGAAAUCAGCCCAAAACAUUAGGGACUGACCUUAAGAUAUGAUGAAUUUCCUAAGCAUCAAAUUGAAAGGCAACAUCAACAUUGCAUGACCAAAUCAUCAAAAUUUUUUAACAAUGAUAUUUCAACAUAUCUACUAACAAAAUCUAUGCUUCAUUUCCUAUUCACAAAUAUAUCUGAGUCUGACAACCAAAUCAUCAUCAUCAUGAGAGAGAGAGAGAGAGAGAGAGAGAGAGAGAGAGAGAGAGAGAGAUUAUGAUAUCGCCUUGUCUUGUGAUCUCCUCAGGAUUCUUGGUUCAAGAAUGGACUAUACUGUUGGAAGCAUCUUCCCUUUACCAACAUUCAGAAAUCGGCUUGUCUUGUGAUCUCAGGAUUCUUGGUUCAAGAAUGGACUAUCCUGUUUGUAGUAUCUUCCCCCUACCAACAUUCAAAAAUUAAGUUUAAUUCAUGAAGUAGGAUACCAAACGGGCCCUAAGUAACUUAUUACUGAGGUAAACGAAAAUCACCUGCAGCAAUAAAGCAGCUGGCAUCCCAACAAGCAGGCAUAAUCCUUAAUAGUUUUUCGUAGUUGAGUUGAGUACUAUCACGCAUGUGUGACGAACAAACUAAGUAACUACCUUGCAAAGCAACCCACCCCCAAAUCAUGCUGCCUGUGUGAACAAACAAACUUUGUACAACCAGCUUGAAUUGCCUCGACACGACGCAGCCACUACUUUGACUCUUUCUCGCUGGUAACGUACACAUGAAAACUAUUAGAUUGUUUAGUCAUAAAUCAUGGGAGAACUACCGUAAUUCUAAUAAUUUUGCACAUUCAUAUACAUUACAUGGUCAUGAAAGUGAUACAGAUCUCUGCAUGCAUACAUCUAGCAUGACAAAUGGCAAGACAUCAUAAUGAUCCAUAGAUCAUCUUUUAGUGACUAUUGCAAGAUAUGCCUUCAAAACAUUAGAAUAACUUGUUAUUUAUGUUCUUCUCAUUGUAACAUAAUUUCACAAAAGGGAAAGCAAAAUUCAAAUUUACAAGCAUACACAAUGCUAAAAUAUGAAUAUGGUUUGAAUGUAUAGAAAUUUAGUUAUAUACCCAAUCUUAGACAUGGUUUUAUAAAGAAACCCUACACCGUUUAAAAACUAUAAACACACCCAAAAACAAUUCAAAAAUUGACAGCUAUCAAUUUUUUUUAAUUUAAUAGUUGUUUUUUAGUUUAUUUGUAUGUGUUAAAUACCUAUAUUGUCCUUGUACUAUGGAUUUAAGAUAGGAAAAUCAGAUCUGCCAUAAAACCAAAUAUUUCCAUGUCUGCCAAAAAACCAAAUCUGCCAAAAAAACCAAAUCUGCCAAAAAAUCAAAUCAGAUUUAUUUUCUCCUUUCUCGCUGGUGUUUUCUCUGGUGUUGGAGCAAGAGGAGCUUCCAUUGAAGCUCAGUCUCAGGUCCAACUAUAUUAUUCAUCUUUAAUCUACAAUUUUCAAUAUUUCACCUUCAAUUUCUUGUUCUAAAAUCGUGCUUCUAUUGAUUUUUUCUUUUUUUCGGAUUGUUCAAGACCUUGAACAAACCUCGAUCAGAUGCUUUUAGCUCUACUCCUCAUCUUCGAGCUCUACUCCUCUUUCGCCACAUCGUUGUCGUUGUUAUCGUCGUCAUCGUCGUCGUCGUCGUCGUCGUUUGGUUUGUACUUGAGAUUUUUGAUCUUUUGCUUCAAUUAUGUGUUUCUCUUCGGAUUUUAGUUGAUUUUCGAAAUGUAUUUGAAGCUUUGAUGAUCGAUUCAACUUUUGUUACUAUUUCAGUUAUGAAUCUCAUUUUUGUUUAACAAUGUACUUCUGUGAUAGGGUAUUAACAAUGUACUUCUAUGACAGAGUAUUAACAAUAUACUUCUAUGACAUAAUAGUAUUAACAAUCUGGGCUCAGCUUGUUUUGAGUUGGUUUGGUUUGUUCUUUCUUCAUCUUUUCUUUGGUGGACAUGUAUUAGAAAUAGCAACAUGAUAAACAUUAAUCAACAUGACAGUAAACUAGCAGUGUUAUUACCCUAGACUAGAACAUUACAGGGGUAAACAUGCAUUAGAAAUAUGAUGUCAUAGGAAAUAGCAGUGUUAUUACCCUAGACUAGAACAUUACAGGGGUAGAUAUGCAUUAGAAAUAGAAUAUCAUAGGAAACGAGCAGUGUUAUUACCCUAGACUGGAACAUUACAAGAGUAAACAUGCAUUAGAGAUAGGAUGUCAUAUGAAACUAGUAUUGUUAUUACCCUAAACUAGAACAUUACAACCAUUAAUCAGCAUGACAAUAAACUAGCAAUGUUAUUACCCUAGAUUGGAACAUCAGCCAUUAAUCAACAUGACAAUAAAAUAGCAAUGUUAUUACCUUAGACUGAAACAUUACAUGGGCAGACAUGCAUUAGAAAUAGGAUAUCAUAGGAAACUAGCAGUGUUAUUACCCUACACUGGAACAGUACAGGGAUAAACAUGCAUUAGAAAUAGGAUGUUAUAGGAAAUUAGCAGUGUUAUUACUCUACACUGGAACAUUAUAGUCAUUAAUCAACAUGACAUAGCAGUGUUAUUACCCUAAACUGGAACAUUACAACAAUUAAUCAACAUGACAAUAAAGGUGUAGAACAUUACAAUGAUUAAUUAACAUGACACGUUAAUGAAACUACGGUUUUCAAGACCUUUUGUUUGUAAUGAAUUGUUUGAGUUUUUUUAUAAAAUUGGGCUGGGCUUGUUUUGGGUGCUAUUUAAGUUUUUUGUGUUGGUCUUCUUUUUUAAAUUGAUCAAAGGCAGUCAUGUAAUUUAUAAGAACUUAAACACUAAUUUUUUAUGUAGUAAAUGAGUUUUGGGUGUGUUUCUAAAGUGCAAUCCAUGUGAGAUUUUUUAUAAUUUCAGCCCUUAUUUUGGGUAUAUUAGUGAAGCUCCCUUGAAUGUAUUAGGUUUAAUUUAUUCUUCUCCAUAAGGAGGUAUUAAGAGUUUACAUAUGGGCUUUAUAAGGAAUUAGAUACAGUAAAGAAAUAUGAAAGUAUCUCCUAAUUGUACAAUGAUUUAUCAAUUAUAUAAAAAAAUAGGAAAGUAAAUCCCUUAAUUAAUCAAGGAAAUAAAUCUCCUUGAUUAAUUAGGAGACUCACGUCAACACUCUUCCUCAAGUUGGUGCAUAUAUGUUACCAAUGCCCAACUUGGUAAGUGAGUCAUGAAAUACUCUGCUAAAUGUAACACCCUGACUCCAAAUUUAAUUUCUAUUUUAAAUUAUUUAAGUGAAUUUACGAAUUUACCCUUAGGGUAGGGGUAAAUUGGUCAUUUUCUUGUCCGAAAAGUGUUUGGGGCAGUGACUGGAAUUUUUAGGUAGGUGGUACUGAGACGAAUUUGUAGACACGCGGUAGGCUUGAAUCGGAGUUGUAACGAAAAAGUUACGGGCAAAACACUAUUAGUGGCAAAACUGUAAAUAUUUCAAAAAGGGUUAGAGUAAAAAUCAGAUUUUUCCAGUUUUACCUCACUCUCUCUCUUUCUCCCCAUUCUCUCUCUCUCCCGCGUCGUCCCUCCUCCUCCUUCGACUGCAAAACGCACGGCCACCGUCACAGGCCACGGCCAGCCUCAAGACCGGACCCAAAACAUCCGGCCAGAUCUCGCCGACGUUCCCCGACCCACCUCCAGCCGUCAGCUGCAGCCACGUUGUCGGAAAAUACGAAUUUCAGGCCGGUUUUCGUCUGAAAUUCCAGUCACUCGUUCUCUCUCCUCCGACCACUAUUUCAGACGGGUGAGGUAUGGUUUCUCAUCCAUUUUUCAAGUCCUAGCUGACUGUUGUAUAAGUUUGGACCGAUUCGUUGUCUAGGAAAUCGAUUAAAAAAUCUAGGUUUUGGCCGGAUUUCAAAAUGAAAUUCCGGCCAGUUGCCGCCCGAAUUGGACCUUCCCGUAAUUGAAGGAAGUGAUCCUGACCCCGAGUAGGAGCUAGGGUAGGAAUGGUGAGCUCGAGUGUGGAGUUUUUUCGUUCCCGGGAUUACUCUACACACCCACGAGCUGCCGGCGAGUGUGGCGGCACAUGGGCGAGGCUGGUGAGGGUGUAAAUUAACCCGAUGAGAUCCUUAGGUUGUCACGAGCACGUAGGAUUUUACGGAUCUCAAUUCGGACAUCGUUUGACUAUCGAACGGAUUUUCGCAUAUUGUGCGUUAUCCGGGUUCGAUAGGUUCUGACCAUUGGAUCGUUUCCUAAUUAAAAUAUGUUGUUCUAGGUAUUCCUAGGAACGUAUAGAAAUUCACGGAUCGUGAAUCGGAACCCCGGAUGUUCCGAUUCAAUAACUUUAAGUUUGCGUUUUAUAAUAACAGUCCAAUUGUCCGAUUGUAAGCGAUCUAACCGUCCGUUUCGAACUACACUUGCGAUACGGGUAUCUUAGACCUUGUGAAACCUUUAGGGACUUUCGGAUUGUAAAACGGAGGUCGUGGGUCCCGUGGGCCCGGUUGACCCAAAUUGGGAAGUUUGACCGCUGGUUGACCGAGUGUCUCCCGAAGUUGUUCCAUCGUCCAAAUCGGGUAGUUGGACCUUAGAACGUCUCGUUCCUAGUACACUUACUAGAAACCUGGGAAAUUAGAAUAUUUAAUUCAAAGUACUUAUUCGAAACGCUUUGUAUUAAUCUCGUAUACGUAUUCUGAAUUAGGUACUCCGACCACGCAUACGCAGCAGGCGGGACCCUCUCAGGGUCAAGCAGCGUGGGACUACUUGUGAGUGGACUUUGUUUUCAAAUCUUAUGCAUGGUUUUAUUGAUGAAAGAUUUGUGCAUAAUGUUUUUAAUGAUUUAUUGAAUAUAUUAUAUUCAUGAGUUGAAUUUGAUGUUUGUAUAGUGCUUUGGCAUAGUUGGGUAUUGAAAGUAUAUUUUAUAUGGAUUUUGGGAAAUAUUAUGCAUGAUAUUUUAAAUGGUAUUUUGAAUAUAUUAUUUAUGAAAUUGUUGAAAGUGAUAUUUUUAUGAGGUAUUGGAAAUAUAUUUUGGAUUUUGACAUAUUUGAGUAUCUUGAGUACGAAUAUUUGGAUUUUGAGAAUUUCUAUAUAUAUUUGGCUAUGUGUGAGGUACUUGGGUUGUUGAGAUGAGAUUGUGGAAAGUGGUGAGUAUAGAAUGUCAGUUUGGAGUGCUAUAAGCACUACCCUAUAUACCUCCCUGGAUGUGGAACUUGGAUACGGAGACUUGAGAUACUUGGAAUUGUCGGAACUCGGGGCAUCCUUGACGGGAUGUUGCUGUAGACCCUUGAUUGGGUAGUCUGCGCGCGUAGGACUGAUGACAGACGUACGGGUUUUGAGGUUAUCGACGGUACGUGCUGGCUGAGAGUUGGUCCCCCGGACGGCUCGUUCCCUAGUCACAUGGUGGAUUAAGGACUCUUCAUGAGGACUCAGCCAGGAUGACUAGUCAAACAAUCCCCCGGUUGGAUUGUUUUCCCGGUACUGUUCACCCGUUUUCGUGUUUACUCCUUAGGUGGAAGGGCUAAGUUCCCCACUGGCUUGGAGACCAUUUGUUGGUCGACAAGUCAGCUUUCUUUGGUGUGUGAGCGUGUCACUGCUAGCAAUGUAAAUUCUAGCAGACUUCUUUUAGAGUGGAUAACUUGCGCCCCAAGUUACUGACUUCUAAAACAGAUGAUUGUGAAUUUAGGUGAGGAAUAUCUCCCAAGUAAGUUCUUUUCUUGCCUCAGACUGGUAAGGACUUUCAUAAUUUAUCUCAGUAUCAAACGGCUGUUCUGGCCAGAAAAAUUUGAUAGAAGUUGGGCUUUUUUAGGCAGAACUGCCUUUUACAAAACAAUAAAUAUGCAUAUCGACGCUAGGAAGGUUAAAAGACGGCCGGAACUCCGUUUCUGCUUGGAUGGAAGGCUCUGGCUUGGGCUGGACUGGACACAUCUGGGUCGGUCCGUACUGCUUCGUGCCUUCAAAUGCUAGGUUGAGCUAUAAAUCGAUACCAAAGUUCGAUUUUGGCAGAGCUUUAUGUUUACUUCACGCUUCGUGAGGCCUUUUAGUGGGUAGAACUGCAGCUUCUUCAGUUUGAAGAGGCAGAAGUGGCUGUUCUCGAGGGCUUGGUGGGCUAGGGAUUGCACUACGAGUGUUGUUCUGCUUGAGCAGGACUUUUUCAUAAGUUCGCUGAGGUCUCCACGUUUGUGAAGAUUCAAAUUCUGCUUGCCUUGGCUUUUUGCUGAACCAAAUUUGUAACGAGAGAGAUCUCGUUUUCAGAAGACUUAUUUUCUAAGUCUGAACUUUGGAAUUCUGAUCUAAAGCUGGUUUCUCUUGGAAUCCAAGUGAGCUUUUGGUUGUUUUCUUGUUGUUUAUUUUUUUUGAUUGAUGAAUUGAGUGUCCUUUCCUUCCUUGCCUACUUUUGUUUUUAUAAGAGACCCUCUUGGGGAGGUGGUUUCAAAUUUAAAUAAUGGGCGGUAAAAUGAUCUCCUAUAAUAUAAAGUAAAAAAGGAUUUUAUCAAUCAUGGCAGAUAAGCUCUCCGUACAGCCUAUUAAAGCAGUCCCUUCCCUGGUGUCCUACUCCCAGCUUUCUAUUUCCAUCAACCCCACAGUCCGUGUGGGCUUUUUUGGCAGUUGGUUUUUCUUUCGUAUUUUCUGAACAGCUCCCCGUUUCCCGUUCUAAUUUAGAAAGCGUGACCCGUGAAUUCCUUGGAAGAUGGUGUAUUGCUUUUUGGAGUAGAAUCUCCGAUCACAGAUGGGUUUUGAUCUUCUGCUGGCAGUGUUUCAGAGAUGUCCCUCUCAUAUUUUAACUUAGUUGAAAUUGCUGACUUUUCAAAGCUGAGGCAAUCAGGUGGGUGUGUUUUUAAUUCCCUUGGGUUUAAAACCAACAAAAUUUAUGGGCUGAUCCUUGAAGCCCAAGUGAUAGUUUCCACGUUGAUCUUUCUUGGGCCCGGUUUUUUUUGUUCUUGACAUCCUGGCCUGAAGCCCAACCUGUCUGGAUCCUAAUUUUGUUACCCUUAAGUUUUUGGGCUGGGCAUUUAAUUUCACCAUGGGCCUGUCUUUUGAACUUUGGCGUGCCAAAUUUAGGCCCAAACAGGUACAACUAGGUGAUGGUCAUAUUUAUAUUAUAUAUAUAUCUCUUAUAUUAUAUAUUUAUAUUUAUUCAUUCAUUCUUGUUUCUCGGUGUGAAUACUUCCUUGCCGAUCGUGCCAAUGGGUACGCUUUCGAGAGUUUGGUUGUGGGAUUUAUAAGUUUUUGGAUGGUAGGUUUUGUAAAGCGUUCUUUAUGGAUUUCGGACUUGGCAUCUGGUAUUGAUUUGUUUUGAUAUAUAUUAUAUAUAUAUAUAUAUAUAUAUACUUGAGUAUGACGGUUUUGAGAUGCAUGAGAUUUCUUGCAUGGUUUUCUAAACGGUGGGGUUAUAUUACGUUGGUUUACACUGAACUGAAUUUAUUUUUGUCCACUCACAAUUUUCUGUUUUGCGCCCCCCAGCCAGUAGUUGACUGAGCUUCGCAACAAAGCCGGAUCGUGCGCUUCCGAGCCUUGAGUCAUCGUAGGACUCUUUCUUCAUGUUUUUCCCUUUGAACUCUGUUUUGUUGAAAUUGAAGUUCUUAGACAUGCUCUGUUAUCACCCCUGUUAGGGUUUGAAUUUUGAGGCCAGAGGCCAUUUUGUUGUAAACUGUUUAUUCGCUUUAAAGAAUGCUGCUGGUUGGGAUUAUUCUGUAUUUUUUUUUGCAGGUUGAAUUUUGUUGAUUUGUUCAAUUCACAGGGGAGACUCUGCCAAAAUUUUGGUAGAGAGUCUCGAUUUUUAGUAAGUGGGCCCGGCAUCGGGAAGAUGUUGGAACAAAGACGGGAUUCGCCCUGGUUUUGGGGAAAUUUCGAGGAGGGUCCUGUCAUACAAACAGCUUUUGUUAAGAUAUCUGCCAGUUGAUCUUCUGAUUUUACGAAUGGUAGAUGGAUGAUCUUCUUCUCAAUCUUGUCUUUGAUAAAAUAUCUAUCCACUUCAACAUGUUUGGUUCGAUCAUGUUGAUCUGGAUUAUGGGCAAUGUCAAUGGUUGAUUUGUUAUCGCAAUGUAAUUUCAUUGGCUUUCCUAGCUUGAAACCCAAUUCUUUCAAUAGUCUUCUGAUCCACAAUAGUUCACAAACUCCGUUAGCCAUUCUUCAAUACUCUGCUUCUGCACUAGACUGAGAAACCACAUUUUAUUUUUUACUCUACCAAGUGACUAGAUUACCUCCUACGAAGGUAAAGUAACAUGAAGUAGAGCGUCUGUCAGUAAUGGAGCCAGCCCAAUCAGCAUCUGUAUAUUCAACAACUUCGAGAUCUCUAUUUUUUUUAGAACAUUAAUAAUUACUGACUUUAAGUAUCUUAAGAUCCGAUCAACUGCAUUCCUAUGGGACACACUGGGUGAAUGCAUAAACUAACUAACCAUACUCACAGCAUAUGCAAUAUCUAGUCUUAGAGGACGUAUGAAAAGUAGAACAUUUGGUGGUGGUGAUAGAAGCAGGAGUCCGAGUAGCUGGGUCAAUAGGAGUGACUGCAUGCUUCUGUGAGUCUGCAAUAAGAUGGAGAAUCGUAGGGGUUCCUGACAUCGUAUCGGAAGUAAGAUAUGAUAUGAGAAUGUGAGGAAUUUGAUGUAGGAAUUGGAUUUAAGAGGUAUGUGUAUAAGAUUUGAGGGUAUGUGUUUAGGGAUAUGGAUAAGAGGAUUUGAAUAUGAUAAAUUUGAGAUAAGGGUUUAGAGGCAAAACAACUUCUCUCCACUCCCCCUCUCUCCCUGAAGAAAAGGGGUCGUCAGAGUAAAGAAAUAUGCAGUAUCUUCAUGGGAAUACGUCAAGGUAAUGGGGAUAUGUCAGUAAACAUAUCAUUUUCACUCCCCCUCCCCCCUUGAAAAGGAGGGGAGGAGAGCACUUAAAUUUCAAGAAGAACGCAAGCACAGGUCACAAGAGAACCUGGCUCUGAUACGAUGCUAAAGUAUGAAUAUGGUUUGAAUGUAUUAGGUUUAAUUUAUUCUUCUUCAUAAUGAGGUAUAUAUAAGAGUUUACAUAUGGGCUUUAUAAGGAAUUAGAUACAGUAAAGAAUUAGGAAAGUAUCUCAUAAUUAUACAAUAAUUUAUCAAUUAUAUAAAAAAUAAGAAAGUAAAUUACUUAAUUAAUCAAGGAAAUAAAUCUCCUUAAUUAAGUAGGAGACUCACGUCAACACAUAAGGCAGAUGUAGAGAUGAAGUUGAGCAUUUCUGUACUUCGAAUGAAUUAAUCCCAACAGAAUCACAAGCUUUUUUCUUGUUGCGCAAAUUGUAAUUUGUAUGUGCCACUUUCAUUAUAUCGUGACCACACAAUCAUGGUUGCCGUGUAGCCCAUGGAAAUCAACUCUGCAGUCUGCACUGGCAAUUGGUAUAAUUCAAUUUGUGGAAAUUGCUACAACCUCACAGGUCAACUGUAUCUGAAUACAUUAUAAAUUAAUAUAAUAAUGAUAAUAAUAAUAAUGUUAGGCUCAUCAGAAUAUCUUUGCUCAUUACAUUAUAUGUCCUCACAAAAAUAAAAUAAAAUAAUCAAAUCGGAAAUCGUUUAACCGUUUGAUUAUUAUCAUAAUAUUUCAAUUACCCGUAGGAAAUAUCUGUAAACACGAAUUUCUUGCGACAAAUGAGACAAGAACACGUGUAUAAAAUAAUAUUUGUAUUAAUGAAAUUUAAUGUUCCAAUCUCUGUAUUAAAUCCUCUGAUUCGAUCUCCAAAGUGUUUAAAGAAAAUUUGUGUUUGAUACAAGGGUCGUAGAGACUUGAUCUUGAUCAAACGGGUAGCACAAGGCUUGUUUGGUGUUAGGAUUUUUCUAGGGUAGAGGAACCGGCACGUAUUUGUUGUGCUUUAUGGCUCUUCCAAAGUGAGGUGAAUAAUGCAGAAAUUUUUUUGUUUCUUCUGAGUGCUUGGUUUGUCUCCGCCCCUGUCUUUCUUCUUGAGACCUCCUAUUUAUAGGUCCCUGCAGGAUGCUUGACCUAAAUAGCUUUCCUUCUAUAGGACCCUGUUUUGUGGGAUUUUGAUUUGAUUUAAAAUCAAUUCCGAUAAUUUGGCAAUUUAACCAAAUUAUCUUCGAUUGAUUGACUUGAUUAAUAUUUGAUUUAAAUCAAAGUCAAUCACAGAAAAUUCUUUCCUUUAAUUUUGUUUUCACUUUAAACCAUUUGAUGCACUCCGUCGGAUGUCAACACAUGUCACUUUUGAUAACUAAUCCGAUUUUGAUGAGUCGUACACCACAUGGGCGAAUUAUGAAACCUACAAUUUAAUCCACCAAACCCUAAUUAAUUUCUUACUUAGUGGAAUUUAAUUCACCAAAAUUUCAUUGUCUACAAAUUGCCUCCACUUCACAAUGCACUGUAGAUGUGUGUUUGCCACAUAUCUAUAGUGUGACUUGAAGUCCCUCUUGAUGGCGAAUGCAUUUUGUUCACAGGUAAAUUACAAGAGUUGAUCUUAAUUUGAUGAAGCCACUCUUGUUGGCGAUCACCUUUCUAUUGUUGCAAUGACCUUUCUUGUACAAUUUUUUUAUUUUUUUAUUUUUUUUAUUUUUAUUUAUUUUUUAUUUUUAUUUUCACUUGGUGGUAUCAACUCUUGGCCGAUAAUCAUUUGCAUGAGUGCAUUAAACAUGGGCUUUGGCACAACCAGAUCCUGGACCAUCGGAACUCCAGAUCAUAUAGUUUCAUAUGAUAAAGAAAUCCUUGUAUUUUGAAGAGGCCUCCAACUAAAUCAACAAUCUUGCGUGGUGGUGAAGAAAAUUCCAUAUUACAUAAGCACAAUUGAUGGCUUGAUCAUGUAUCAUCACAUAAUUUCCUUGAAUGCGUUGGAAAUUAAAGGGAAAACAUUUCGUGCUCAAUUUUGUCUUGCUACUUUCGUGGCAAAUAAACAUGGUCUCGAUCAAAAGGGAUUAUGAUCUUGAAUGCUCUAAAACAAAAAUGGAAAGAAUAUGCCCGUCCUGAUUUUUUAUUAAAAUAUUUUGGGACCCAAACAAGGGAAUUCCCUAUGCAUCUUUUGCUUGGUUUCUGCACCAAAGCUUCCACUUAUCUUUUUCAAUACGUCGGCAGCAUCCCUUGGUAACUAAUAAUCACAUGGUUGGUGGUGUUUCUCUUGCUUGAAGUUGUGUGCCUUCUUAGCCUUGAGCCCGUGCUCACCCAACCUCACUGAGCCAAUCGCCAUGUUCAGAUCUUUUCCUUUGUUACUUGGUCGAUGCUUAAUGAACUCGUCUUGGCACGAUGAUGUUGAUAAGUUGUUGCUCCUAUACUCCAUUGAAGUGGGGUCAAUGUUUUCUUACAUGAAGGAAUAUGCCACACAUGUAACUCAUGACAAGGAGGCCAUAAAGCAAUCAGCCAGAAACUUUUUAUUAUUUAUUAUUUAUUAUUUUUCUUCUUUUUUUUUGGCUAGGCACAUGUUGCUAAAAGGGCCAAACCUAGAGUUGCAAUUGAGGAUUUGAUCGCAGCUAGAUUUUUGAAGCGCAAACCGAGAUGAUUAAACUAUCAAUACCAUGAUGCCAGAGACUUCUCAAAAGGUGGAGUUCAUCUUGUUGGAUAUGUGAGGCGUUACAUGCAUCAUGUGGCCCAAGUGAAGGUCUGUUGAGGUUUGCAUCCACCAGUCGACGACGAAAGAAAAACGUAGAGGUCCUAACUGCUUGGGUUUGAACCAUUUCUUUGAUUUGGUGAUAACCCACUCAAGUGCUUAGGCUUGAUCUUGUUGGAGAACGAGUGAAGAAUGUAGACGUCCUAUACCGCUUGGGUUUGAUCCAUCUCUCCGAUUUGGUGAUAACCUACUCAAGCGCUUAGGCUUCACGUAUUGGAGGACGAGUGAAGAACGUAGACGUCCUAUACCGCUUGGGUUUGAUCCAUCUCUCUGAUUUGGUGAUAACCCACUCAAGGGCUUAGGCUUUACGUAUUAGAGGAUGAGUGAAGAACAUAGACGUCCUAUACCGCUUGGGUUUGAUUCCUCUCUCCGAUUUGGUGAUAACCCACUCAAGUGCUUAGACUUUAUAUAUUGGAGUAUGAGUGAAGAACGUUGACGUCCUAUACCGCUUAAGUUUGAUCAAUCUCUCCAAUUUGGUGAUAACCCACUCAAGCGCUUAGGCUUUACGUAUUGGAGGACGCCCAACUUGAUCGAGCACAAAUACUUUCCCAAAGAGACUUCCUUUUCCUUAUUUAUUUAUUUAUUCAAGAUUCACCAAAGAAAUGAUCCAUAGUGAAGCUUUUGGAGUGGAUAGGUCAUGGUAAAUUACAAAUUGCACAAAACAAGGCAAGAUAUUCAUUUGACGAAGGCCAAGGUAGUGAAUGGUGUAAGAAUAACAAGGGUGAACAAGGAGUACCAGCUUGAUGUUGAACGAAAGAAGUUAAUGUAGCCCUGACGGAGCGAAUUGGAAGUCAAAUAGUGCCAAACUAAUGAGAAACUCCAAAUUUAUUUUAUCAUGUGACUGAACUCAAAGUGGUCUUAUGAGCUGCCUACGUACCCUUAUAGGAAAAAAAGAGAUCAAGUCACGACGUAGUUCAAUGUUUUUCUUGGUUUUUUGGUUUUUUUUUCUUUUUUUUUUUUAGUUUGCAGUUUUAGCUCAUGCAAGCGAGGGAGCAUUUGGUGCCUUGUGCAUUUUUGGCUCUUGCAGGCGAAUGAGCGUUUUGGUGUCUUGUGCAGUUUAGGCUCGUGCAGGCGAACAAAUGAGCGUUUGGUGCCUUAUGCAAUUUCGGCUCGUGUAGGCAAAUGAGCAUUUGGUGCCUUGUGCAGUUUAGGCUCAUGUAGGCGAACGAAUGAGCAUUUGGUGCCUUAUGCAGGCGAAUGAGCGUUUGGUGCCUUGUGUAGUUUAGGCUCGUGCAAGUGAACGAAUGAGCUUUUGGUGCCUUGUGUAGUUUCUGCUCAAACAUGCGAAUGAGCGUUUGGUGCCUUGUACAGUUUAGGCUCGUGUAGGCGAACGAAUGAGCGUUUGGUGCUUUGUGCAAUUUAGGCUCGUGCAGGCAAACAAAGCAGCAUUUGGUGCCUUGUGCAGUUUCGGCUCGUGCAGGCGAAUGAGCAUUUGGUGCCUUGUGCAAUUUAGGGUCGUGCAGGCGAACGAAGGAGCGUUUAGUGCCUUGUUCAGUUUUGGCUUAUGCAGGCGAAUGAGCAUUUGGUGCCUUAUGCAGUUUAAGCUCGUGCAGGUGAAUGAAUGAGCGUUUGGUGCCUCGUGUAGUUUCGGGUUGUGCAGACGAAGGAGCAUUUGGUUGAAUUUGUGUCAAGCUAAGUGAGAAGUGUCCUCCUUAUGUUUUUUUUUUCACCUUGAGAGGUGCUCGACACAUUAUUCUUGAAGAAUCCUUUGGGGAAGAAAUCAUGUAGCAUGAUGGGGCUAAGUGACCUUUGUUUCAAAAGUUCAUCUUUUGAAACCAUUUUGUUCAUAUUUGACAAUUUAUUUCCUCUAUGCCUUUUAGGUGGUUCAGAAGAACUUCUUUUGUUUACAAAUUUUUUUUACCGAGCAGUUCUUGGCAAAGAUGCAUUCUUCUUAUGUAACUUCUUCUGAGUGACCAAUGUUCAUCCUUCAUUAUCGUCAUCGGAUGAAUCGACACUACUUCGACUUAACACCCCAACACACUCAUACAGAUUGAGUUGAUGGGUUUCAGAGAAUGCCCCUAGUGGUUGAAGUGAGGGCAAAGGUGCCGAAUCAGAGAAGACAAAUGAGAUCGUAGCAUGGUUUGACUCUACCAACUUGUCAAGAUCUAUUUCGAUUCUUCCUUGUUGUGCCAACUUCAUGAUGAGAUCUUUCAACACGAAACACUUUUCCACUGGGUGACAAAUGACACGAUGGUGCACGCAGUAUUUUGGUGGUUAAUAUGAUUCAUCUCUUUAGAGCGUUUGCACUCGGGUAACUCAAUCACCUUCUUCUCGAGUAAGUCUUCCAGCAUGCCUUCUACGUCAAAGUCUAGAAAAAAGAUACUUCCUCUCCUUCAUUUCUUUUAGGAUGUGUCAUCGUGGUUCUUGAUCUUGAGUUGACUCGGCCUUCCUCUCAUCUUUCUUGCCUAAAGCGGAAACCUUCAUUGGAGCGGCACUGAUCGUCAUUGACUCCAAGAUGCGUGUCUUCAAAGAGUCUGCCCCAUUUCUCGAUGACUUCUCAUUUCAAUGAUCACUCACUAUUUCAUUUCUUCCAUCGUGACUAGUGUUACUUAGCUCUAUGUCAUGCGCACGAGUGGUCAAUUCUUCAAAGCUAUGGGGUUUGAUCCCUUGAAGAAUAUAAAGCAGACCCCAAUGCAUACCUUGAAUGCACAUCUCUACCACCGAUAACUCUGAGACUCGAUCUUUGCAGUUGAGGCUUAAUGAACUCCAACAAUUGAUGUAGUCAACAACAGGUUCAUUUUUUUGUUGCUUUGUGCUAGUGAGCUUUAGCAUGCUAACUGAGCGAUGAGUGCUAUAGAAGCGGUUGAGGAAUUCUCUCUCCAUUUAUUCCCAGCUAUCACUUGACUCUGGUUCUAAGUCAGUGUACCAAUUGAAUGUAGUGCCUCGGAGUGAGCGAACAAAUUGCUUCACGAGUAAUCGUCAUUAGUGCCAGCGUUGUUACACAUCUCGAUGAAGUGGGCAACAUGUUGUUUAGGGUUACCUUUUCCAUCAAACUGCAUGAACUUUGGAGGUUGAUAACCCAUUGGCAUUCGAAGGUUGUCUAACCUUUUGGUGUAAGGCUUGCAAUAAAUAAAUGUAUCUUGAUAAGGCCCACCAUAUUGAGCCCUGAUGGUUUUCACGAUCAUGUCCUGAGGUUGUUGGACCGACAAAGAACCCACCGAGACGAUGUCGCCUUUUCUAUGCAACUUCUCACCCAACUCUGUUUCAUGACCCAAUCCUUUCUCACUGGAUUCAGCUUCAUGAUGUGGUCCUUUCUUAUGCACGUCUUGACCAAGUUCCUUAUCCUAAUGUGCCUCCUACUUGUUAAUGAGAGAAGCAAUUUGCGCAUCUUUCUCUUCGACCGUCUUCUUCAGUUUCGUGACUGCUUCACUUAUAUGGGCCAGCUGUUCUUCAAUAGACAUCUUUCAUGUCACCAUGACCUGCAUAGCCAUAGAAUAAGACUCACAUAUGGACGCUGAGGGUUUCAUGACAAUCUUCUUUUGUUGGUUGUCAGACGGGGAUCCAUGGUAUGAGCAUGUGCUCGAGUCAGCGUCUAAAACAGGCGAGAGUGAACGUUCUCUUGAAUUAUUUGAACCCGAAGAACUCCUUUCUUCAUUCCGAGAGUUUAUCUCAUCCGCUCGGGGUGUAUUCUUCUUUGCCCCCAAGAAGGCCAAGUUGAUAGCCAGCUCAUGCCUUCGAUUCACAUCUUUCGCCUUAGCUUGAUCAAGUCGGUAUGGAAGUGACAUGUUGAGUUACGAAUAUAGCAUUGGCCUUACUCCUGGUGACGACCCCAGCAGAGUCUCCGCUUGAGAAGGAAGCGCUCACACUUUUGCCUCUCGUCGCGGGAGCGAUUUGAAUAUUCUUGGAAGCCAUCGUUUUCGAUUUGUUGAGUGAUUUUGGAAUUGGAGAAAGAGAUGAGAGGCAUACAUGGUCCCACUAGGCGUGCCAAAUUUGUAAACACGAAUUUUCUGCGACAAAUGAGACAAGAACACAUGUACAAAAUAAUAUUUGUAUUAAUGAAAUUUAGGGUUACAAUCUCUGUAUUAAAUCCUCUUAUUCAAUCUCCAAAGUGUUUAAAGAAAAUUUGUGUUUAAUACAAGGGUCGUAGAGACUUGAUCUUGAUCAAACAGGUAGCACAAGGCUUGUUUGGUGUUUGAAUUUUUCUAGGGUAGAGGAAUCGGCAUGUAUUUGUUGUGCUUUGUAGCUCUUCCAAAGUGAGGAACCGGUGUUUGAAUUUUGUUUCUUACUUAGUGGAAUUUAAUUCACCAAAAUUUCAUUAUCUACAAUAUCAUAUUUGAUUUGUCCCUUUAACUAUUUAUAAACUAUUUGACGCUUUAAUUUUUGUUUCUUCUUAGUGCUUGGUUUGUCUCUGCCCCUGUCUUUCAUCUUGAGGCCUCCUAUUCAUCAAAUUAAAAUCAAUUCCGAUAAUUUGACAAUUUAACCAAAUUUUCUUCGAUUGAUUGACUUGAUUAAUAUUUGAUUUAAAUCAAAGUCAAUCACAUAAGAUUCUUUCCUUUAAUUUUGUCUUCACUUUAAUCCGUUUAAUGCACUCCGUCGGUUGUCAACACGUGUCACUUUUGACAACUAAUCCGAUUUUGAUGAGUCGUACGCCACAUGGGCGAAUUAUGGGGCCCACAAUUUAAUCCCCCAAACCCUAAUUAAUUUCUUACUUAGUGGAAUUUAAUUCACCAAAAUUUCAUUGUGUACAAUAUCAUAUUUGAUUUGUCCCUUUAACUAUUUAUAAACUAUCUGACGCUUUAAUAUUUUUUAAUAUUUUAUAAUAUAAGUGAUAGUCUAAAUCACAAGGAUGGGGAGAAUUUUCACACACACACUACCAAAGUAACAUGGACGUUCAAACCUGAGGCCACUAGUCUACAAAUCAAUGUCAUUUUUCUCUGGGUUAGACCCGAUUAGUAUGCUUUUUACAAUUUUCAAAUCCUGACGUUUAGUUUUCUUCAUAUUUUACUUGCAAUUUGUUUUGUGAAGUACUAAUUAUUACACGUAGCGAAUUAGUGAUCACUAAACAAUGAAUAAAAAAAUCAGAAUAAUUUAUGUUCUCCUUUUCUAUCAUUGGUAAUGGUAAACCAAGCAUAUGGGAACUAACAUCUGUCUCCAAAUGAACAUCCACAUGAGCAAAUUAUUUUUGUUGUAGGUAUCAAUCACAUGUAUAAAAGCUUCAAUCAAGAAGAAAAAGAAAAAGAACAUAAAGCUAUCUCGUCUUUUUUUAUAAAUUUUGUUAUCAGUGCAACAAUUACUUAUACUUUUGGAGAACCAACAAUUUUUUUUUUUUGUCGAGGAGACCAACAAUAUAAACUGAUACUUUGAAAAAUAAAAUUGUUAUAGACAGCUUGAGAAAAUCGGAAAGGGAUAGAAAAAGAAAAGUACAAAGAAGAUAGAAUGAAAGGUUCAAUUUCGACCACAUAAGCAACAAGACCUUCGACCAACAAAGAAAAAAGGAACAAGACCAAUAAUCGUAACGCGACAGCACAACAACAACACUAAAAAGGAUGUCAUGUCUCUUUGAAAGAAGUUUUGGUUAGGGAAAGGGAGGACCAUGUCGUGUUUCACAUGCUUGUCUUCCAUUUUUCGUUCCGAGAUAUUGCCAUGUACAAAUAAAACUCUUAUUAAAACUCCGAUUUUUCGUUUUGAAUUUGAGUGUUUUUUCAGAGAUAUGAUUUUUGAAAAAAUAUCUAUAAAAAUUAUUCGAAUAAUUAAAAUACAAUGUAAAAUUAUCUUCACAAAAAUAUUCAUCAAAUACACUUAUUUGAAUAAUCUCUCAAUUAAAGCUAUUUCUGAUAAAUCAAUUACAUAUACAUAGCUCAAAGUGUAUUAUUUUUUUCUAACAUAACAUGCACAACAUUUUGAAGUCAUCAAAGUGUAGGAUGAUCAUGAUCCUAUAGAGUCAUGAUUACCCCCACUUUUAUUGGUUGAAUUUCUGAAUCUUGGAUAACAUAUUGUGGGCCAUAGCCAUAGAUGAGCUGUGCUAGGGAGUGAGUAUCUGGGGGUGAAUAUACUCUUGCCGACACAACCCCAAGCUCCAACUGCCAUUCAAACGAGCUCCACCACCGGCCAUAAUAAAUUAUCUUAGUCAAGAAGAAAAGGAGGGAUUUGGUUCCCACCUCAACUUUUUAGGGUUUAUCUCCUUUUCCCUGAAAAUCAUCUUGUAUUAGUGUUUGUCCUGUUUCAAUUUCUCUCUCACCUCACACCUAUCCAACUAUGUUAAUUUGAUUGGAUAACGUGUCAGAUUUUAUGCAAAGAGGACCCAUUUAUCCAUAAGUAGUUGGGUCAGUUCACUCACCACACCUUUUUUUUUUUUUUUUUUUUAUAUAAUUUUUUUUUAAAUAUAAGCGAUAUUGAAGGAGUCGGAUUUUCUCACACUGAAAAUGUGUCGAGUUUCAAACCUGAAACUACUGAUCUGCAAGUCCCAUGUUCACCACUCACCCAUAACUUAACACAUCACACAUGCUUACAAAUCAUUUUUAUUUUUAUAGAGCUUGAAGUUUAUAAUAAAUUGGUUAAUUAACAUAGGUUUUCAGUAACAAAACAUAAGUUUUCGAUGAAAUUAUAAAUUUUAUAGCCACCUUGAUCACAAUUAUCACAAACUAUUACUUGAUCCAAGAGAAGUAGACGGCAAUCCGCAACAGUCAUUUAUCUGUGAAUUAUUUCUCACUACCAGAUGGCCCCAACCAGAGCAUUUCCUCCACUUAUUCUCUCUCUUACUCCAACAUGGAUUAAGGGGGGGCAGCAAAUUAGCAAUCUUGCCGGAAUGUUUUCCUACUGAUUAGUGUCUGAACGCUUAAUUUUAUCUAUUUUAAAUAUAUAUCUAUAUAUAUAUAUAUAAAAUAAAAGGUAGAGAAUGGUAAAAUAUUCAAAAUACCAAAAAAUAUCAUUGGUUAAUGUAAAUAUUAAGAAUUGAAAUUAUUAAUUAAAAAAAUUAAAAUUAAGAGAAAAAUCAGAAAGAAUCCUAUUUUUAUUACCCAUUAUCUUUUUAAUUCUAAAAUAAAUUUAAUUUUUUUUUAAAAAAAAAGCAUCUCACAGGCGCUGAAGCGCGUGUGAAGAGGCUAGUAUAAAAUAAUAAAAAAACCAAAUGACAAAGUUUAUGUUCAAUGAGAUGCUUGAAUGUUUAUUAAUAGACUAACCUCUUCACAUGCGCUUCUGCUCUUGCGAGAUCCUUUUUUUUAAAAUUAACAUUUAUUUUAGAAUUAAAAAAAUAAGGGCCUUUUAUCUGAUUUUUCUUUUAUUUUUAAUUUUUUUAAUAUGAAAAAGUAUGAAUUUACCAUAUUAUUCUCAUUUAAUUAAUAAUUUCAAUUCUUAAUGUUUACAUUAACCAAAAGUAUUUUCUGGUAUUUUAAUUGUUUUACCAUUCUCUAACUUUUACUAUAUAUAUAUAUAGAUUAUUUAUCAUGAAAACAAAAUAAAAUAACAUAUAUAAAAAUUAUUCCAUAUAGAAUUUAAUAUUCAACUAUUUCUUCUACAUGCCAAAAAUGUCGCGUUGAACUUAACAUCUAACAACUGCAAUGACCCGAACAAUAAAGGAAGCUACUGCUCUGGCCAUGUCUAUCUACCAAUGAGUUCAGUCCACGAAUUUCUUAAAUAAAACUAGAUUUGAAUUAUUUUGAUGGCAUUUUGUGACUCUCAUUCUGCAUUAUAGUAUAAUAAUAUAAUACGAUUUAACUCAUAUAAUAUGAAUACAAUUGUCUACUUUUUAUUAAAGAAAAUGUUAUCAUAAUACCCCACCUUAGAUGGGUAUCUACCCAUCACUUUACAUUUCAAUUUAUAGAGAGGACAGCAAAUCCUAACCGUUCACCAAAGCAUGGCACGUGGCAAAAUCAAGAUUAUCCAAUUUUAAGAUAUUUAUUAUUAGGAAAAAAUUUUAAAAAUAUCACUUGUACUUAUAUAUAAUUUCAAUUUGUCACUCAAAGAAAAUUUCUAAAGAGAUAUUAUUUUGAUUUAUCGAAAUUCCUAAAUUAGAAUAUGUGGCAUGUAAAACACACGCAGAAUUUUGGAUAGAGUUACAGUGCCAUACGACAAAUUAAGCAUUUUGAAAAAUUGAGAUGUGAGUUCUCUUAAAUAUUUGUUUUACGAUGAUGAAAUUGUAGAUGUGACAUUUAUAAGGUUUUCCCCUUCCUUAAAAAAUCAAACCACUUUUAACCUAAGGUUAUAUUUGAGCAUGCGACAGGAGAGAGUGAAGAGCCGAGGAAAAGAAGUUUCGCACCAGCGCAUUUAUAAAUACCCACCACCAUGCACCCAACUGUCUCACACCAUCAAAACCUCUUCUCAUAUUAAUCUUGCUCUCCAUCGUCCCGUUUCCGAUAUAAUACCCAAAAUACCCCGCCAUGUCUGAGGAGAAGCACCACCACGGCCUCUUCCACCACCACAAGGAUGAAGACAGACCCAUUGAAACCUCAGACUACCCUCAGUCUGGUGGUUACUCUGAUGAAGGACGUACAGGCAGCGGCUACGGUGGUGGUGGUGGCUACGGCGAUGGUGGUGGCGGCUACGGGGACAACACUGCUUAUUCUGGUGAAGGACGUCCCGGCAGCGGCUACGGUGGUGGUGGCGGCUAUGGAGAGAGCGCUGAUUACUCAGAUGGCGGCCGUUACAAGGAGACCGCUGCAUAUGGCACCACUGGCACCCAUGAAUCUGAAAUUGACUACAAGAAGGAGGAGAAGCACCACAAGCAUCUUGAGCACCUAAGCGAGGCCGGGGCUGCUGCUGCUGGUGUUUUUGCCCUGGUAUGGAUUUAACCACCUUUUAUAUAUGAAUCUUCUAAUUUUGUUCAUGAUUUUAGUUAUAUAUUAACCUUAAAUGUGAAGGAUCACAGUCAGAAAUUCAUACAUUUUCAAGGCUCAUUUCCCAAUAACUAAUUAAUCAUGCAUAGUAAGCAGAUCAUUGUAUACAACGGUUGUAUGUAAGAAUUUCUCGACGAAGCAGGGCGAAUGCUUUUAAGCUCCUUAGGCCUUGUCAACAUAACAAGAGAAGUGUGAAGAGUAAAUCUUCUCAAGUAUCAAAUGGAUUAAGUUUUUCUGAGACUAAUGUAAUUAAGAUCUGUCCCAGAAAUAAUUUGACAAAAUUAUAAAGAUAUUUUCAUUUAACAAUUGUAUCCAGAUGAGACAUAUAAUACAAUUAAAAUACCAGAUCCUAAUUAAUUAACUCUUAUUUAAUUUAAUAAUGAUCAUGAGAUGUGAUGUGAUGUGCAGCAUGAGAAGCACGAGUCAAAGAAAGACCCAGAGCAUGCUCACAGGCACAAGAUAGAGGAGGAGAUUGCUGCAGCAGCUGCAGUUGGGUCUGGUGGGUUUGCCUUCCAUGAGCAUCAUGAGAAGAAAGAGGCAAAGGAAGAAGAGGAAGAGUCUCAUGGAAAGAAGCACCACCAUCUCUUCUAAAUCUACAAAUAAAUACUAUAUUUUAUAUUUAUAUAUUGUGAUUUUACUUAUCUGUUAUGAGUGAGGUUUGAUCUCAACAAUGUUAUAAUUGUUGAGUGCUUAUGUGUGCUUGUUAUAUGAGUGCUAUGUAUCUAUCUAUUUCUCGUUGUUGAUAAUAAAUAAUAUCGUUUACUUGAUGUUAAUUUCUAUAUUAUUAAUUGGUCUUCUUUUUUCUUCUAAGAUAGAAAAUAUUAUUGUUCUCUUCUUGUGGUGGUGGUGGGUGUUAUCUUAGCCUCUUCUUAAGGAUAUUGCCUCUCUCUUUCUUUGGAAGGAGACAUUCUUACUUAGUGCAAAUCACAAUUUGACAUAUAUGUAAAAAUAAUUCAUAAAAAGCACCAAAACAAAAAUCUCAACAUACAUAUUAAUCUGUGAUUGGCAGAAAAAUAGAAGCUCUUAUUUCCAGGGAGUGAGGCAAGUAUUUUGCCCUCCUUAAUUUCCAUCAAGGUCACGAUUUAUUUUGUCAAUCCCAACUUUAGUAAAUUGACUUAGCAAGUAUCUGGCCCUAUCAGAGAACAAUACGUGGAUAUUGUGCACUUGAUUUUCAAUCGUGAGACCAUCAUGUUCACAAUAGUGCCAUUUAAUAUAAACAUAAAUUAAUUAUUAUUUUUAUAAUAUUUUAUACAAGAGAUACUGGAGAAGGAGGAAACUUAAGAUCUUAUAUGGAGGAGUAAAUUGGGGCUUCACUAAAUUAAUUGAAUAUGAUAUUUUACUCUCGUGAAGAAUUUCUUGAAUACGUGAUAUUAGAGUCUUUAGAUGAGCGAAACCGCAUAUAAUUAUAAUAUAUAUAUAUAUAUAUUUAGGAUCCAUAUAUUUAAUUUAUUAAUUUUUAUAUCGUAUAGUAUAAAUCCAUCUUCUAGUCUCUUUCAUGUGAAGUAAAGGGUCCCGGGGAAUAAUGAUAAAAGCAAUUAUGUCUUUCUCUUCCUUCUUCGUGCCAUUUAAGCCAAAACGUAGGGUAGCCAUCCAUUACAUAACGAAUUUUUGUUUAUGAAAAGUAUUACCUUCAUCAAAAUCACGGAAAAAUGACUAAAUAGCUCUCUUAAAAAACCCUUUCCAUUUAACAAUGAUGAAAGUAAAAUAUGCUCACAUUACAAGUGAGCAAUGAGGGGUUGACUCUAAUGACCCUAUACCUUCUUUCCUCCCAAUAAUAAUUUUGAGUGAAUGUGCAACUCAAAUUUUAACUCUCUUUAUCAUUCUUAUCACAAAUCGUACUUGAAAUUUUCGAAAUUCAUCAUUUUAGUCCCCCACAUUGCAAAUCGAUCAAUAUGACGUUUUAGUACAUACCUUGCCACCUUGGCUCAUAAGAUAAGGGAAGGCGGUGGAUAGAUUAUUGUCUUGGAAUUUUUCAAAUGACAACGAUGGAAUUUAAGAAACCCAUAUUCCAUAAUUAUUUGCAAGAAAAACUUAUAAUCUUUUUUUGGGUUUAUGUAUCCAAAUGUAAGGGAUUAGUGUGUGUGUAUAUAUAUAUCCCUUUUAUUGAUGGAUUCUUCAAAUAAUUUUAUUUGAGGGACGCACUACCAUACGAAUUUUUUUGCAACGAUCCAAACAAUCUAUUUUUUAAGUCUUCAUUCAUAGAUCAUCUUUACAAAAAAUUAGACAAAUCGAAAACUGAUUAGACAUCCAAUUGUGUCUUACAAAAUCAAUGAACAUGGGCUUCAAGAAGGUACUAAAAUUUUAAUUAUUUAAUUGAGUGGUCAAAUUAUAUCAGAUUGAAGUGAUUUUUUAUAGAGAUGAUAUUUGAAUGAAUAUCUACAAAAUAGAAGGUUUGGAUUAGUAAAAUAUAAUCCGGAGUAGGCCCUACAAGAGUGUCUCUCAAAUAAGCUUAUUUGAGGGAUCCCUCAAUGAAAGCUCUUUGUGUAUAUAUAUAUAUAUAUAUAUAUAUCUAUUUUUUAUUGCGUACUUCAAUUUUAUGCAAAUGUUAAAUCCAUCAUACUAUCUAGGGGUGGGCAUGGUACGGUAUAGUAUGGUAUUAAGCAUGUACCACUACCGAUACCGGAAAUUUAAAUCGGUAUGGUACGGUAUAGAAUUAUGAUUUGCUAAAAUUUGUACCGUACCGUACCAUGCCAAAUCGGUAUCAGUACAGUAUCGGUACCAUUUCGACACUAAAAUGACACAACUAAAAAAUGAACUAAUUCAAUAUUCAACACAUUCAUUCACCAAAAUAAGUGACGCCUAAGUUACAAAUUCAAAGAUAUUUUAGCUACUGAUAUUUUAGGCAGGGCUCGGCCCAGGGUCAUUCCUUGUUAGUUUAGUUUGUUGUCGGCUUAGUCCUACCAUUUAACCAAAAGAAAAAAAGCCUCCAUCUUAAUCAAGAUUCUAAGUGACUUUUCUACUAACAAAAAGUAAAGAGUCCAAGGAUAAUCCUAAAAUCAAAUGGUGAUAGGCACUAAUUUUAUUAAGAGAUAAAAGUACAUACUAUUUCUUUCUUUUCUUUCACUCAAGGAGUCUUGGUUGAAUACUUUACAACUAUUUUAUUUAUUAUAUUCUCAUCAUGAAAACCUUUUCACCUAUAAAUCAAAAAUUACUAAUUGAGUUGCUUGAAGAAAGAUGACUUUUGCCAAAUAAAUCAAAGAAAAAGCUUUUAAUUAUCAAAUGAAUCAAAGAAAAAGGCUCUAUAAACAAACACACAAAGGCAAUCAAAAUUAUAUUUAAGUACUAUUCAGUACGGUACGGUAUUGACCGGUACCAAAAUCUUGAUACCGCUACUAUACCAUACUCUAUUGGUAUGGUAUGGUACGGUACCAAAUAUCUUCCCAUACCAAAUGAAACGGUAUGAAAUUGGUAUGGUAUGGUACGGUUAUGGUAUGGUUUCGGUAUUUCGGUUUAAGAUGCCCACCCCUAACUAUCUAGCUUUCAAUGACUAAACGGUCAAAUGGUAUUAAUUCUACACCCUCAAUUUUUUGGUAAAAAUCUUGUUCGAUAGAGAGAAAGCUCGAUACCUAUUUGAUAGGUGUUUUUAUAAAUUUAAAAAAAAAAAAUUAGGCAUGAUUUUGUAAUACAAUAUUCGUUCAGGUUAAGAAUGGUAAAUUAACCUUUAUUUUUCUUUCUGACAUCAACGGGGUGAGGGCACUGGCGGACCCAUAAAUUUUUUAGCGGAGGUGCAAUAUUGACUAAGUAUGAAAAAUAGUUUUUCGGAAUAGUCAUCUUCUCAAGAUAAUUUUUGGCGUCUUUUAUUCCUUACACAUCAAAUAAGAAAACUUGAUUUUAUGAGAUUUUAGUAUGAAGUAUAUAUUGACUUAAUGAGCCAUCAUUUUUAGCCUAAAUCGUAUUUUGCACUAAAACCGAUUUUUCAUAUUUUGAUUUGGUAGGAAUUUGAUUUUCUAAUAUUUUUAUUUGAAUCCAAAUGGGAAGUACUUCCUAAAUUAAUGUAACCGCCACUAGGGGGUGGGGGGUGGGGAGUGGGGGAGAGAAACCUACUGGCAUCCGUUGACAAUAAAUAGAAAUAUAUUUAGUUUUCAAGGUGUAAUAAGUGAAAAGUUUUUUUUGAAGAAAUGUCUUCCAUACCGGCCGAGAGAGAGAGAGAGAGAGAGAGAGAGAGAGAGCCAAACAAUCCAGACCGUCCACCAAGGCUUGGAUAACUAGCAAAUCAUGUGAUGUGGCAAGAGCAAGAGAGCCCCACUUCAGGGGGGAGAGAGAAGAGAGAGAGAGAUCCAAACGAAUCCAGACCGUCUACCAAGGCAUGGAUAGGUAGCCAUGCAUGUGGCAAGAGCAAGAGAGCCCCACUUUAGGUGGAUAUUUUACGUACGAGCUUGUGAUAGAGAAGAGCCACAAAUUAAAGCCAGAAAGAGAGUUUUGGGACAUCCAACGCUUAUAUAAGCCCCCCUAUCACCAUGCAUACCCAACGCAACACCCCUUACCUCAUAAUCUUCCUUCAUCCUCGCAUUUUCUUCAAAAUACCCAAAAUACCCCUCAACAUGGCUAACCAGGAACAGCACCGCCUCGGCCUCUUCAACCAGGACAGAGAAGAAGACAAAUCCUCAUCCUUCUCUCAGCCCGGUUAUGGAGAUCAAGGCCGCACUGGUGGUGGUUACGGCGACAGCACUGGCUAUGGCGACUCCACUGGUUACUCUUCUCAAGGACGUGCCGGUGGUGGUGGCGGCGGCUAUGGCGACAACACGGAUUACUCCGGUGAAGGACGCCGUACUGGCGGAGGAGGCUACGGCGGCAGCACUGAUUACUCUGGUGGUGAAGAGCGUCGUGCUAGUGGCGGCGGUGGCUAUGGCGACAGUUACUCUGGUGAAGGACGUCGUACCGGCGGCGGCGGCUAUGGAGACAGCACUGAUUACUCUGGUGAAGGACGUCGUACCGGUGGGGGCGGCGGUGGAUACGGAGACAGUUACUCUAGUGAGAGACGUACUCAAAAUGUCGGUGGCGACGGAGACAGUUACUCGGAAGAAGGACACGGGGGCCGUGGCGAGACCACUGCUUACUCUUCUGAUGGGCCCCGCGGCGGACAGCACAGUGAGACGUCUGAAACCUAUGGGUCUCGUGACUCUGGAGACUACAAGAAGCAGGAGAAGCACCACAAACAUCUCGAGGAACUUGGGGAGCUAGGUUCUGCUGCUGCCGGCACUUAUGCAUUGGUAGAUUAAUGUUUCAACCCUAUUUUUCUGAUUUAAUUUAUUAUUUUAAUUAGGCAUACUAAUUGUGGAUUUAUGAUCAUUCUCAAAGGCAUAUUAGUGCGCAUGAUUUGUGAUCUUAUUGACAAAAUAUAUAAUUGCCAAUCCUACUUUGCGUUCACAUAAGUAUAAUGAUUAUGUAAUUUCCAUUUUUUUUUCAAACACUAUUGAAAAUAUAAAAGGAGAAACUUUGACCAUAAAGUUGUUUUUUUUUUUUUUCGGCAGUAUGAGAAGCACGAGGCAAAGAAAGACCCAGAGCAUGCUCGCAGGCACAGGAUAGAGGAGGAGAUUGGGGCAACGGGGGCAGUUGGUUCGGGUGGGUAU
rnacentral:lncRNA from 1 species